UUUAGUUAGCUGUAAUGUUCUUCUUAAACUAUCUUGCUUAAGAAACUCAAUGCCCUUCGCAAAACUCGAUAAUAUGUGUUGAUAUGUGAAAUUCUUAUACUGCAGUGUGGCAGCAGAGAAGUAUCCGAACAAUAGAAUGCUCGGAUGGCGCGAGUUCGUGAAAGGAAAGGUAUGCAACUUAUGCGUCUUCUGGUAUUUCAUAAAGUAUCAAUUUUUUUUAAAAAAAUUUAUAGAUCAUUUAGAUCCUCGAGUAAUUCUUUGUUUUUGUUUUUUUUGUUUUGCCAAUGUAUAUGAUCAAAUAGCCAGGAUGCUAUAUAUGGAAAACAUACAAGGAAGUCUAUGAGGAAGUGGUUCAAGUUGGUUCCGCUCUGCGGCAGAUGGGCGCUGCACCUGUCAGAAAACCGACUUUCAUUUGAUAUUUUUCUGCUCCUUUCUUAAUUGUUGUGAUCUCACCUGUUCAUUCUGUCAGCUGCAUUCGGAAUUUCGCUGAAAUUAGCAGCUUAUCCCCCCUUUUCAGCUGACGAAAUUGCGUAUUCAGUUAACAUCGCCAUUAGCUUUUACCGAAUCUCCUAUUCAUUUGACAGAAUAACUAAUUACUAGGGCUGUCAAUCAGAAAAAGAUUUUAAGUUGUGAGUUUAUUUCGAAAUAUGGAAUAUAGUUGACGAAGGCCUAUAGAUAUUUCGUUUUCAGGUGGUAGUAUCUAAUGUUCAUAUGCCCCUGUUAUACUGAUGUUACAUUAAUCGGUUACAGGGUUCACGCAUAGGGAUCUACGGAGCAAAUUGCCCUCAAUGGAUAGAAGCAAUGGAGGUAACUCUAGAUCUGUAUCUAGUUUAGCAUUUCGAUGGUUUUAGACCGCAUUUAUCUUAUUUAUUGAUCAAGACCAUGUAGAAACGCUUUUAAAUUAGUAAACUCUCUCAUCUGCAGGCUUGCAAUGGAUACAGCUUAAUAUGCGUUCCGCUCUACGAUACUUUGGGUAAAUGAAUUUAUUCCAAUUCCUUCUUUUGUUGUUUUAAGUUCUUGCAUUGAAGAUACUUUAUCUUCUUUCCACAUGCAUUUCCAAAAGGGUUUGAGCAUACAUGUGAUGAUUUUUGUUACUAUACACUGUCGACCACAAAGCAAAUUUUCUGGUAACAGGGUCAGGGGCUGUUGAUUACAUUUUAGACCAAGCGGAAAUCGACAUUGCUUUUGUUCAGGAUAAGAAAAUGAAAGAAGUGAGAACCAAGUUAUUUUUCUGAGUCUCUCGUUCGCAAAAUGGUUGUUUUCAACACGAAACUGAAUACUCAAUUUUGCAGUUACUGUUCUCCGACUGUGCAUCUCUUCGGAGGCUGAAAGGUAAGAAGCGAUCGAUAUUCGUAUCUUGAUCAAGCUUUUGAAGGAAAAAUAAUCAUAGUGCUUAUUUAUUGAACAUGAUUGCAGUAAUCGUUUCAUUCACUUCGACUACAAUGGAACAAGAGGAAGCUGCAUCUAAAAUCGGAUUGCAAAUUUACUCAUGGAACGAUUUUCUUCGAAUGGUCAGUUUCUAGUUACUUAAUUCUCAAAUUGUGGAGUAUCUUACGCGAACUCUUCUAUUCCAGUGUCCCUUCGCACUGAUUCUACGAUGCUCCCUUAGUCGAAGCUAUUGUUUUGUACCGUUAAUACAGGGAAAGGAGAAUUUGUGCGAGCCUCUUCCUCCUCGACCUCUUGAUAUAUGCACAAUAAUGUACACAAGUGGAACCAGCGGAAACCCCAAGGGUGUGAUUUUGACCCAUGAGAGCAACGCAAUGUAUGUGAGAGGAGUAGAUCUCUAUAUGGACCUGUUUGACGACAAGGUAAAUCUAUUUUUUUGAUCAUUCGCAGUUACUAGAUAAUAUAUUUUCGGCAAUUCUUUGUGUUCUAUCCAUAUUGUGUCAUAAUUAGUCCCCGAAUUUUCGAGGAUCAGUGAUCAAAUUGUGGUAUACGAUAAAGUUCAGAGACAAACUUGCAAUAUCGGGAUAGUACAGUCGACAACUUCGACCAUUAUUUCUCUCUUCCUUUUAUGUAUUCAUAAGCAUGUAUAUGUGUUUUGUAUGUACGCAUGUAUGUAUGCAUGUACGUAUUUGUCGAUAAGAGGUUGAGAAGUUAUGACACAUUGUUGUUAUCAGAUGACAGUGGAUGAUGUCUACCUCUCCUUUCUCCCCCUCGCUCACAUUCUCGAUCGCAUGCUCGAAGAGUACUUUUUCCAUAAAGGGGCCUCUGUUGGGUACUAUCACGGAGUAUGUACAUCGUCUUUGCGUUACUUUCAUAAAUACAAAGUUUUUCAACUAAUUCUCCAUAUCUUAAAUAAUUUGCUAUAUUCUAUUACAUUUCCGCCAAAAAUCUACACUGAACCCUAUUUUUUUGUUGUAUUAAGGAUAUUAAUGCUUUGAGGGAUGAUCUCAUGGAAUUAAAGCCAACUCUAUUUGCCGGAGUCCCUCGAGUUUUCGAAAGAGUCCAUGAAGGUUUAUAUUGCUUCUUUAUAUAUCGAACAUUAUCAACCAUAUUAUUGCAACUCAGAAUUAUUUGUAUAUUUUGAUUUCUAGGUAUAUUAAAGGCUCUAUCGGAACUCUGGCCGCAUAGAAGGAUGAUAUUUAAUGCUCUGUACAAACAGUAAGUUGUUCUUUCUCUUCAUUUCUUACUAAAAUACAUCAAGUGCAUCGAUUUUAUUUUUAUCUGACAAUUGAAAUUUCAGUAAAUUAUCAUGGAUGAGAUCAGGAUAUUCACAUAAAACAGCAUCCCCUCUCGCCGACUUCUUGGCCUUUAGUAAGGUCUUAUCUUCUCUAUACCAAACAUGAAAGUUUUUAUUUUUUAUUUUUUUGCAAUAUUAUCUGUUAAAAAUAUUUUUCAUAAUUAUCUAAAUUGUCGGAAUUUUUCCUUUUUUUUUUCAAUUUAGAUCAAGGCUAGGCUUGGGGGCCGAGUUCGCCUAAUUAUAUCUGGGGGCGCUCCGCUGAAUACUGAGAUUGAGGAGUUCUUGAGAGUCACAAGCUGUGCUUAUGUUACUCAAGGAUAUGGUAAUUUACACAAAGCUGGUUUCUGAAGUUUUUCGACUAGCAUUCGUGUAAUCCUUUAUUACUACUAAGAAAUAUAUAUGCCCUUGUACUUAUUUCUAACUAGGUAAAUAGUUAUGGCCUUCUAAGUACGCGGUUUUGUGAUGCUUUGAUUAAUUAAUUCCUUAUAUGAUUCAAAUUUAUGUUCCAUCGGUCGUUUUAACAAAUAAUUUCUUCAUCAUUCACCAUCUUUAAGUCCUUUUUUAUCUUGAUUCUUUUGAAUUGGUAAUGAAAACAUUUGAUGGUGAAAUUCUUUCACUCGUAACUCACAUUAAUAUAAUAAGAAUGAACUCCUUGAGAAUCUAUCAAAUAUGACAGAUUUAGGAUUAAAUUUUGAUUGCUGAAGUUUAUUUCAGCAAAACAAUCAGUCAAAUUUUCAAAUCAAAACCUUCUUCCUUGGGGCUUCAAAUUUUUUUUUAAUCGUUGGGAAGAAACAUUCCUGCUCUAAACAUUGUGCUUGUAGUUGAAAUGCCGAGGACUAAAAGAGUGUACAUUGUAAAAAAUCAAUGCCUUUUCAUCGUUCAGGGUUGACGGAGACAUGCGGUUUGAGUUCGAAUGGAGUUCCUGACGAAAUGUCCUUAAUCGGAACUGUCGGAGUGGCCUCUACGUAUACCGAACUGCGGCUAGAAGAAGUGCCCGAGAUGGGUUAUGAUCCGCUCAGUGUCCCUUCCCGCGGUGAAAUAUGCGUCAGAGGGAAAACUCUCUUUUCCGGGUACUACAAGAAUCCCGAACUGACGAAAGAAGUGAUGAUAGAUGGAUGGUUUCACACAGGUACAUGAAAAUCUCACAAUUUUGAUGUAUUGCUCUUCAAAAUGUCACAUUUAGCCGCGAGAAACUACACCUUCGAAGGGAACAGAUUAAAAUUCAGAUUUUGCAAGGGUGUAACCUCAUUAAUCCUUCGUGUUCAGGGGAUAUUGGAGAGAUCUCCCCAGAGGGAGUACUAAAAAUCAUAGAUAGGAAGAAGAACAUAUUCAAGCUAUCUCAUGGGGAAUAUGUUGCAGCAGAGUACCUGGAGAAAGUAUACGGUUACUUGCCGAUUAUCGAAGAUGUAAGCAUUUUACACUACUUUUGCUGUGGUCGAAAGAGCUUAGCGAUUCCUCGAGCAAUUAUAAUUAGACACAAUCAUUUUUUUUCUUUCUUUCUUUAGAUCUGGGUUUACGGGGACAGCUAUCGAUCCAUGUUAGUUGCGGUGGUUGCACCGCAUGAAGAUAAUACUAUGAAAUGGGCAGAGUCGAACGGCCACAAGGGAUCAUUUUACGACAUUUGUGCACUAGAGGAGCUUAAGAUUUACAUUCUUCAGGAGUUGAAGGCACUUGCAGAGAAAAAUAAGGUAAGAUUCUCUCUUUUUUUCCCUGAUGUAAAAGGAUAAAAUACUUGAUCAAGAAGAACAGAACUAUUUAGUUGGAUAUGAGCUUUGGUUUAUUAUAUCUGUCGUAUCUUUUACAGUAUGUUUUAUAAGAACAAAGUUACCGAUAAAUUGUUCAGUGCACUUGCGCUAACUUAUCGUCACUUGUUUACGAACCAGCUAAGAGGUUUCGAGUGCAUUAAAGGCGUUGUCGUGGAUCCGGUGCCUUUCAACGUUGAAAGGGAUUUGAUGACUCCGACUAUGAAGAAGAAAAGAUCCCAGAUGUUCAAACACUAUCAGGUAAACAGAAAGAACUGAAACUAUUGUUGUUUUUUGUGCUCUCUCUUAUUACAUCCAUUUCAUUUAGUCGUAAUUAAAUCUCUCUCCUUUUUUCUUUUUUUUGGUGCUGUGACAGUCGGAGAUCGAGAAACUCUACAAGAAUCUUGCAGAAAGGCGAGGAGAUAAUAAUAAAGUUAGAAAUGUAUGAUAAUUGGAUUGCAUUGUAUGUAAUGUGUUAAAUGGACAAAAUGCAUUAUUGUAUAUGAUACCUACUUAAAACUAUGGCCCUAAGAUCCUUUUAAGGCAAUAAAAUUAGAACUACUUAUUGCUAUUCUCGAAGCUUUUAUCACGAAUCUGUUUCUUUCUGAAAUGUUUGUUUGGUUUGGACAUAAAAUUGUGCCGAUGAUUUAUCGAUAGUAAGGCGACAAUUAAUGAGCCUGGCACUGAAGUAUGCAGUUGUGGAAGUUCAUGGGUGUUUACUUUUUGGAUGAGUUAACAAUGAAAAGAUGAUUAGUUCCGCGUUGUUCUUGCGUUAACAGGAGUACAUUUAUAUUUCAGCUUCACAAUUAUGAUGUUUCUGUGCGCAUUUCUAAUAACAUCAAACGCUAUUUUGGUUGCAGAAUUUUGAAUCUACAGAUGUUUCAGCUUCAGUUUGUGAAGAACUAGAAAAGUUCUCUAGAUGUUGCAUUGUUUAAGAAACACUAGUUUCAAUGCAGUUACUAUUGUUUAAUUAUUUUUCAAAAUAAUCACAUAAUAGUAUAUCAGAUUGUUAGGUCGAAUUACAAAUGAACGAUAAUUUUUUAGAUAAAAAAUGGAUGACAAUAAAAAGAAAUUAUAAUUUUAGUAUGCAUUUUUUGUGCUGCCGGCGCAUUCUUAUCCAUUUAGGCCGCAUUUGGUUCGGCUAAAGACGAAUCGACAAAUUUUUUCCGGUAUAAAAAAUAUUUUUCCAUGACGAAUCUACAAAUUAUUUCUGGUAUAAAAAAUAUUUUUUCCGUGUAUUUAGUUUUACAUAAAAAUAUUUUUUUUACGGAUUUUGAAAAAAAUUAUAAUUUUCGUCUUCCGUUGUUUUUCAGCGAAAAAUGAAUACUCCAGCCACAUAAAAUUUUUUUAUUUAUUUUUUUCCAAAUCAAAGCAAAUGUGAAUUUUUUUCUUAUAACCAAACAAAUGUUGAUAAAAAAAGAAAAUUUUCUACAAAUGAAAUACUACAAAAAAAAAAAUUUAUCAAAAUUUUUUUUCACGAAAAAUUAUUUUUCAAUUGAACAAAAACCCGUAGGAAAAGAAAAAAAAAAAACGUUGAACUUAGUUAGCUGCACGAUCCAUAUAGACCACUCCGUCCAACAGCUUACACGUGUCUGUAGAUUAUUGGACCUCCAGUCAUCCGAUUCAUGAAUGACGUGGUACACAAAGACCACGCAAUAAUGUAUUCUAAUCGCCCGAUUUUAACCCCACACCCCACUCCGUUCCCACUCCAUCCAACGGCUGUAGCGGUUCCCUCCUUGGAAAAUGGCGGCGCUAUGGGCUCACCUCUCCAAACGCCUCAUCGGCGGCGGCGGCGCCUCCUCCUCCUCCGCCGCCGCGCCGCCGNNNNNNNNNNNNNNNNNNNNNGCCCCCCCCCCACCCCCCCACCCCUCCUCUGAUCGCCUCGUUCUAGGGUUUUGCUAGGGUUUCAUCUCCUUCCCUGCUCUUUUCGCAGCGAAGGUGGGGAUCCCGGAGUUCCUCAGGGGGGUGGGGAAGGGCGUGGAGGCGCACGUGGCGAAGCUCGAGGCGGAGAUCGGCGACAUCCAGAAUCUUCUCGUCGCCCGAACCCUUCGCCUCAAGAAGCUCGGCAUCCCCUGCAAACACGUAAUCGCUCUACACUCCCCCUCGUUUUAUUCGAAUUAAUUUACUAAUUAUCAUGAAAAAAUUGUUUCUUGUGUUUAUUUUCUUGGUUUCUCCCUCAAAUUAUCUUAAAGUUGCUUGCUUGCUUGCGGUAGCUUCAUUAGUUCCUUUUUCUAGAUGGAAGGAGUACAAAUGGAUUGAAUGCCGUUAUUGGGAGCAUUUUAUAUGCUUGAUUUGAUUUUAUGAUUUAGUUACUUAGUGAUUUAGAAGAUGGGGACAGUGGAAAUUAAUCUUGAAUAAAGAUCAACCUAUGUAAAGUCGCUUUGAAAAGAGAAUAGAGGGGGUUCCUUUUUUUUUCCAAUGAGCACUGUGAGGAGGUUCUUGAUGCAUUUCAUGUUUUAAUACUAUUGUAUAUAAGGAAUUGGUGUUGUAAUUUUGUUGCAGUGAUGAAGAAUGUAGUAUCUUCCUUAGUCAUUUUCUUUGCAAGGUUGUAAUUUGAAUCGUUUCAUGCAUUAAAAUUAAUAAGUAACACGCUUUUUGGUCAUUGGAAUGCCAAAUUAGACAAAUAGCUUUUUAGCCUUCUAGAACGGCUUCUACUAUUGACCAUUUUUUAUGGGCCAUGAGAGGUUAACUUUGGUCAUUGCUAAGUUAAAGCAUUGGUUUUGGUUUAUGUUGGGAUCCUGAAGUUUGGCUUCAACAUUUGCAAGACCUGUAUUUUUUUCUACUUUUUGGUUCCUUCACAAACAUGCAUAAAAUUCUGAAUUCAAAAAUAUGUGAAGAUUUGAAUUAAUCUAGAGAAUCAUAGUUUUUAUAUAUUUAGAUGUAUUGAAGUGUUGUUUUAUGCCACUUUCAUGUGUAACUCAGUUGAUUUCCAAGUUGUUGCCUAUUUAGUCAGAGAAAAGAAAUUAGAAAGUAAAGUAGGAAUCAUGGAGUUGUUACUGGACACUUUAGUAACCUUCUCUACAUAUACACUUGCCUGGAUAUAUGUAGGAAUCUCGGAUCCCCUUUUCUUUGGAGCAUAUCUAUAAGACUUAUGAUGCCUUAUCCCUAUGCGAAAAGCCUAAUCACUUUUCACUGCAACUUCAACCAUUAAUGGUUGGAGAGUCCUGUCAUCUAACAAUACUGAUUACUUUUGAGUUAAUUUGCUUGCAAUGUCAUCAUGAUUUACAAAUUGUGAUGGAUUAAUAGUGAGUUGAGUUGACCUGUACUGGUCAACCUGAAAUGAGAUCUCUUGUCAAUAUAGGUUUAUAAAGUCUUGGCAAACAAAAUGUGUUGAAAUACAGUGCUAGCCUCUUGUGUGAAAGACGCUUUCGAUGGUAGUUAUUGCCUUGUUGAUUGGUCGUAGGGUAUGUUUGGUAGCUUAAGCAAGGCUUCGCUUUUAAACUUGCAACUUUUUGAGUUCAACAGGAACUGUCAAUUUAAUUCGAUUACUUGGUCAAAUCAGGAUGUCCAAUUUGGAUCCUGCAUUGCCUUAGGGUCGCCUAAUCCAACCCUAAUUUUGAGUUGGGUAAUGUUUGACAUCAAAUCAACCUGAAACCAUCUUAUCCAAGCCAAUCAGGUCUGUUCAUAGAACAUAGAUUAUCUUUCUAGGAGAUGUAUAGCAGCAUAGAGAUACUUCUUACACCCCGUGAAGAACAAAAAGGUGUGAUUCAUUAUCUCCAUCUAUCUUUUGUGUUGGGAAUUGUGAUUUCCAUACACUAAGCAUAUGCUAAAACCCUACCUCACUAGAACUUACCGUAGACUGGAAAUUUCCCUGUCAAAUGUUUUUUUCGUUCUUAGUAACUCUUUCCUGGUGACUUUUUAACCCAAAUACCAUCUCGACGGUGUGCAAGUAUUUUCUCUAACCUUAUGGCAACCUUUCUUUGGUGACUUGAAAAGUUCAUUUAUCUGGAAGAUUGGAAAGGUACUUAAGGCAUGGUUCAAAAACUCCUUUUUAAUUUGGUCUGUCAAAAUGAAACAUUUCGGCAUUUAUGGUUAGGUAAUUUCUGUUAUUUGCUCUCGAACAAGUCUAUUGGAAACAACUUGACCUCACAGCAUUAAUCUCGUAAUAUUUUGAUAUAUUAGACUUAUGUUUUAUGUUACUUCUAUGAACUAUAAUGUUGGUUUUCAUAUUGGCACCUAAAUUAUGUUGUUCUCUAUAUGUUUUGCUUUGGGUUGUGUGCAUGCACAAGGGAAAGGUUUAUCCUUACUGAGAAGCCUUAUGAAUAUUAUUUACGGCUAUUUGAUAAUACUUGACCAGCCCAAAUUAAGUUGAUGAUUGAACAAGCAUGCAUGUUUUAUUUACCCAAAGAUGUUAAUGCCACUCUGUAUCUGACUUCAUAAUAUUGCUUGAUAUACUUACUGUGAGGUUUCCGUGAUGUUUUUUGAGUCACGCAGAGGAAGUUGAUCCUGAAGUACACCCAGAAGUAUAGGCUUGGACUUUGGAGGCCCCGGGCUGAACCACAAAAGUUGCAGUGAUGUUAACUUUGGUGGUUGAAGAAAACCAACUUUGAGAGAGCACUCUCCAAAAUGAACUUGCAAAUAGCCGUCUCCUUUCUGAACUCUUGAUCUGAAAAUGAAUAAGGCAUCAGGUGGUUUCAGAGUCGUUCAAACUGUCCACGAGAACAUUAUUUGGAUGUGUCGCUCGACAAUGAUCAUAGGUUCCAACUUGAAAAAUAUGAAACCCAUCUAGGUGACUCUUACAUGGUAAUUGCGGUUUAAUACCUUUAUAAUCUUGUAUCCUUUCCUGACCGUACUAUUUGUUUUUGAAAAGUUUAUAUUAUUGGUACGUAAUUACAGCUUCGUAUGAAAGGAACUUCUGCUUCUUUAAAUCAUGGUAUUUAGUACUUUUCGCUAUCACACGGUCAUCCUCCUAUGACUUAGAGCGAGCAUCAGUUAGGUUGGUUUGGUUUUAGAGGGUUGUUUUAAGAAUAGCGAUGAACCCUACCAAACGAAAGUGGAAUAAUUCAGUUCAAUUCAGUUCGGUUGGUUUAUUUUGUCUGGUCAAGAAAUUCCACUUGUCGAAUGACAGAUAUUAGUAAACAAUUUUUAGUAUGAUUACAUCCGUUUAAGUGUUUAAGCAGCCAAUUUGUUUCAAACUGCUAUUAAUGCAGUUUAUUGAGUUUCUAGGUGUAUCUUAAGCUGAAAAGAAAAAAUGGACCGACUCAUUCGAGUUCUGGAGUUCGUUUUGGACUAGACAGUUCUCACCCCCCUGCCGAUGACUCUAGAUUCCUACUUGAAGAUGGAAAAUUGUACAUGAUAUUUUGCAGUCUAGUGCCUUUUGGGUGUUGUAUUUUCUAGUCAGACAAGCUCAGUGGUCCUACUGCAUAUUCCUACAGGUAAACUGCUUUCUAGUGGAUAGAAGCUGAUUCUGCUUUUUCAUGUGUGGCGUGUAAAUGUAUACAAGCAAUCUUGACACUUAGAAAAGUUGUGAACUCUUUAGAGUAGUUUGGAUUAGGCCAACUAAAGGUACAGUAGUUGUUCUUUUGUUAUGCAGGUGGAUUAGAUUGUGUAGAUGAACCGAAGUGAUUUCUCAUGUUAUUCAUUUACCUGUAUGCAACCAGAGGCUAUAUAAUUACCAAAGUUGGUGGUGCUAAAACAAGAUUGGGUAGGAGAAUUUUCUUGUAUUAUUAUGAGCAAGUUGUAUAAUUUGGGCCUCUUCAAAUAUUUUGUUAUCUAUAAUUUAAUAAGAUAACAUAUUUUACCUAUAAGGUGAUUUCUUUUAUUCUGAAUAAAUGACUUGAAGUUUGAAUAUUAUAUUUUAUUUUAAAUAUUUGAUCACAUUUUGUAUCAAUCAGAUGAUAAAUUUCAGAAUAAAUUGUAGGAAUAUACUGAAAAAGAUAUUCAUGUAUCUAAACGUAUGUUAUAUGUAUGUUUGCUACAUGUCAAAUCUAAAUGGCAAGAUUUGACGCUGACGUGGUAAAUAUUGGUUGGUGUUAACACAGUAGUCUGAAAUAAACAAUUAAGGUUGUGGACCUAAUUGGAAAAAAGAAAAGACCAAAAUGAAAAAAUUCGAUAAAAGUUGGGACAAUUGUGCCAUUAAUUGUAUUCUACUGAAAGGGCAAUAGUUAAUUAAAAAAAAUUAUAUUGAUAAAUUCCCUAAGUUGGUAACAUUUUUUGGACAUAUAUCCAGAUACUUAUCCACUUGUAACAUGUUCCAAAGAAAGUGUCAGAUUAAAUUAUUUAUUUAUUUAUUUAUUUAUCCAGAUAAGGCAUCCCCACAUUGGUAGUGGUUUUAGCCAGUUGGUUGGUGAUGGUUGCAGGUGCCAUAUUUAUGUAAGCAUCAAUAGAAAUUAAUUUAGUCCCCUUCACUUCUUUUUCAAGAUCACUCUGGUGGAGCCCAUACUUUGGUAAAAAGAUUUGUUUCUUUUAAUUGUUUUUCUCUUCAUAGUGUUGCAAGAACUAUCAAGUUUUCCUGCUAAAACCGUGCUAACAACUUCAAAUCAAAAUUGAUCUCUACAUUUUAAGACCUGAAAGCUCACUAUCUUUCUAUCACGAUUGAGGAUUCCAAAUUUCUUGUUUGCUACACAGCUUAGGAGAGACAUAUCAAAAUCUAACCAAAACAAAAUGUUCAAAAAAAGUAAAAUGAUCUAUUCAAUGAUCCAAUAUCUCUAUCAACUAACCUAGCAAUUAGAAACAAUUCAAGUGCAUUGCAAAACAAAGUGUAUGAGAGAGGGAGGGGCUGUUCUUACAAAUUAGAAAAAGAAAUACAGAGGAGAUGAAAAUACAGCAUCAAAAUUUCCAGUAAAAAUUGCCAAUAAAAAGGAAGACCAAAAGGACCUCCAAAUUCUCAGCAGAAAACUCAUGCUGUCAUUUACAGGGCACACCUCAGCAAAGGGCAAAAAACCUCAUGACAUUAUAUAUACAUAGCGUAGAUUACGUAAAAUUACAGGCGUCGUCACAACGCAGCCUAUUUAUUUAUCUUUUCUCUUCUUUUUUUCUUUUUUUUUUUUUCUGACCCUUGAUACAAAAUCCUUCUCAACCAGGUACUCGGCUUUCCUCUCCGUGGACACUCAGCCGAGAUAAUGCGGUCACGUCGCUGCAAAAGAACAAUGAAUGGUAAUUGUUAUCAGCUCAAUUUUUUUUUUUUUUUUCCCUUUGUGAUUUUUGGGUGGACACUCUGACCAAAAGAAUGACAGAUAAUAUUACUCCUAGCUAACGAUUGUCGCAAAUUUCAACCAAAAUGCUCUAUAUUUGAAGCAAAAGAGAUGAUAGCUAUGUUGCACAGAUGGAUACGGGAUACGAAGAUACAAUAUGGAUAAAAAGAUGCGACGAAUUCUCAAACAAGGAAACACUCGAUGGCCACAUUCACCUAGUAUCGGUCAUGUAUCAGACGCGUAUCGAUCGCUAAUACACAAAGCAUACGGUCACAGCUUUCAAAAUGAAGUGUCCAUCGAUCCUAGGAUAAUAGGUUUUCAAUGUAGGGGAGCUUUGAGAGAAGAACAACAUUAAGUUACAAGUUACACACAGAAAAAAAGAGGAGUGACAUACUUGGUAGAUGCAGAGGUAGAACCACCGGGGCUGAUCAUAGAGACAUUAUUGUAGAAUUGAACAGAGAUAAGUCCACCAUUUACCGAUGAUUCAGGAGAACCACGAAAGCUUAAACUCGAGCUAUUUCUUGAAAAAACUCCUGCCAACGAAGAAGAAACGGUACAAAUUACACAAGGAAAAUGAUCGCAUACAUGCUAUAUAUGUACUUGAAUGAAGUUUGACGCUUUACACUAAUUGUUCAACAAAGAUGAAGAUAUUUUCAAAUUUCCUUCCAAUGGACAUUCGACAAGUAAUAGUAGCUAAUUUAAUCAGAUUCAUUCCACAACUUAAUCCAUAAACCUGUUGAGCACAUGCAACUACAAACAGCACUCCAGAGUGUAGAAAGGUUUCUAAUAUGGAUAUAAUGUCAAAAGCAUACAUAUUUGUCCUAAGUUUUAACGUCUCUACGCAUUUAAAGAGAGUGCAAAAAUUACCAUCUUUAGAAGCUAAAAGAUAUGUUAUACACGCUUAGGCCUUCAUCCUUGUCCAAUUCUAGUUACUAUAUAUGAAAUAGUAGAAAAUCCAACAAAAGAUCAUGCAAGUAAUAAAAGAUGCAAAUCAUUUUACGUGCAAUGAAAAUAGUGACAGGUUAAAACCCGAAGCAACCAAAUAACAUAUAUAAAAAUGUACAAAUAGUAAGAAAAGAAUGUAUCUGUAAUGUAUGCUGUAACUAGAUAAGCAACAUUAAGGACAGUUAUAUUACAUACUAAAUAAACUCCAAGGAAAGGACUAUGACGAAAUGAGAUGACUAUAGUAUAGCACCAAUAAUGUCGAUCAGAAGAUUACAGAAAGAUAAAAGGUACAUUGAAAUUAAAAAGGAAAAAAUAUCAGAAAAACUAUGAAUUAAAAAGAAAUAUAGGAAAUUGUUAUUAGCAAACCAAGUUAUUCUUAUGCUGCUAUCAUGUAACAGUGAAACUAGCCUAGCAAGGAAAGGAUUUGAAAAAAAGAAAACAAGAGCACUAAUUAGUUUCCUAUUAUGCUUAUGGUGUAGUUAUACAACAAGAAAAGAAAGCACAUAUUUGGUCAUCUUAAAAGACUUAGUUAGGCGAAAGCAAAUAUCUUGUUCAUGCAUCAUCUACUAAGGAUAGUGUUAGCACAAUGCGAGAACGAACUUGUAGACUCAACAAUGAUGAUAUUUCAUAAAUAAGUGAUGAUCUUUUAUACACCGAGUAUCACAAAUGAUAUUGCAAAGGAUAUAGUAGCACUUAUUAUUAGGAACACAAGUAAACCUACUGGAAUUCUCUAAUUGAAUUUGAGUUUCAAGUACUUAAAAACUUCUCAUUGCUAGCAUAAACCUGUUCAAUAUGCAUCAACCAAUAUGAUCAAUUAGCACCAAUUUGUAGAAAUCAUGUAACUCAAUUGACCCACCUUGCCAUAUUAUAACAAGGCAAAAGAGAAUGGUGAUAACUAAAGCACCCAAAUUGGUACUGGGCACUGACGAUGCCGACUUGGCAUUCUUCGUCCGCUUCAGCUCCUUCAUCCUCUCAAUCCUCGCCCUCUUCAUCGUCGCCAGCUCGGACAUCUCGCGGAUGAGCUUCUCGUCAGCGGAAUCCAAUGCCAGCGGCUUCGGAGGCCGGGGAGGCUUCGGGGGCUUCUUGGGCCGCUUCUUCUUCGGCUUCUCAGCUUCGGGCUUCUGCACAAGCCCUUCCUUUUCCACUACAGCUUCUCCAUUAAUAGGAACCUCUUUACUCUUGAGGCAUCCCUCGUCGCCCACAAAACCAUUCCAUACCUUACUCAAAACAGCUUUUGCCUCUCCAGCCCUAGAGAUUGGGUCUCUUGACGCGCCAUGCUCGUCAACUAUUAUUGAUUUUGUCCCACUCUCGAGAUCAAUUGAGGCAUGAUCGAUCGAGACAUCUCGAUCAAUCAAUCUCUUUGUUUCCAUCACAAAACACAAUAUAAAUCUCUUAAAUCAUCACAAAAUGAGCCAAAAAUCUACUCCUUUUUUCUUCGGUAGUCCUAGGUUAGAUUAGAUCCUUCCAAAAAAACCCAGCAUCAGAUUCUCCAUAUCUUUGCCUAAAUCAUUGGAAUAUAUCUCAAAUCCACCAUCUCCCUGAAAAAAAAUUAGGGCGCAAAAUCAAGCUCAUUCCCCAACAAUUCGAACCAUUUCCCCCCACAACCAUCGAAAAAUAGCAAAUUGAAACACAAAUGCAGCUGAGAAAAAAAAAACACCAUCAAAAACGAAUUUUGAAACUGAAUCCUUAACCGAACCAUAUAAAACCCAAAUAUUACCUAAAGAUCAACAGAAAGGGCAAAACCGUAUAAGAGGAAACAGCCAAAAACGCGUAAAGCUCUCAACUUUCACCCUAAAAUCAAGGGGGCGAACGCUUAUCCUACCUCCGGAGUGUACUAGAAAUGAUCGAAUCGAAUAAAUUAGAGGAAAAAAGAGAGAGAGAUGAAUCCAACGAGGUGAGAGAAGAGGAUAGGGUUAGGGUUUUCAAGGGGCGGAUUCGGAGCUCAUAGGGCAACGUGAGAGAGAGAAAGAGAGAGAGAGAGAGAGGAAUUGUUAAUGGAAUUAAAAAUUAGAAAAAAAAAAAGAGGGGAUUUUUUUUUUUGAGAAAAAAAAAGAGGGGAUUUUAAUGGCGUCGGAAGGGAAAGGGCCAAAGGAGAGAGAGAGAGAGGAGAAUAAACUAUUGCGUGGACCGCGGUCUAUAGACCGAGUCCGUUUAACUCAAGCACCAGGUUUAACAAAAUAAAAAAUCUUUACAAAUAAAUAAUAUUAAAACAAAAAUUUUAAAAGUAAUAAUUUUUUUAAAAAAUUCAUAAUAAAUUUCUAAAAUUAAAAUUUCAAAUCAAUGGAUGUGGUUACAUACAAACAGCAAAAGAAUGAUUACAAAAAAAAUUUAAAAAAGUUGUAAGCUGUAAGCCUACUCAUGUAAUGUAGACAUGAAUAUUAUUUCGUUAAAAAAUUUAAGUUUAUCAUCUAGAUUUUGAAAAAAAAAAAAGGUCAAAUUACUAAAUAUUUUUAAAAAUAUAAUACAACUUUUUUUUCAAAUUUCCUAAAAUUUAGGUUAGUUUGGUAUGCUCUGUUUUUAAUAAAUUAAAAAUAUUUUAGACGUGUGUUAAUCACGUCAAAAGAAGGUUACGAAACCCCGGUCUAUGGACCACGGUCCACGCAAAAAAAGCUCCACUCUUAGAACGUGAAAGGGUCAAAUUGUACUCUAGGGUUCGGAUAAGGGGAAAAAGUGAUCUUUGGACACGUGUCCUACAUCUGGGCCGUCCAUUUGGAUGGAUCUUUCGAGAAGUUUGUGAACAAUACCAAGUCCACAGUGGGGGACACCACAACACGUCCAAACGAAGAGACAUAAAAUAAAUAAAAUAAAUAAAUAAAUAAAUAAAUAAAUAAAACAAACCUUGUACGACCAAAACCCACGGUGUACGCGAAGAUUCGGCGAUAGCUCCUCGAAUAUGCCGAGUUCACCUUUUUCUUUUUCUUUUUUUUUUGGGGUCCUUUUAUUCCUACUUGUUAUGUUAUGUGUUUUUCUUUUUUCCUUUUAUGAAAAUGGCAAUUGGUUACGAAAAGGAGUUUAAAAGACUCAAAUAUGCACACCCACACUGUUAAGUUUAUAAUAAAAGUUUUAAAAUGGAAAUCUAACUUAUUAAAUAUCUUAUAAAAAUAUUAUAAAAUUUGAAUACCGAUUUCUCACAAAUCAAAUAAUGACUAUUUCUUCACCAAUUAAAUAUUGUUAUAAUUUAAUAUCUUUAUUUAUAUAUAUGCCUUCAAAUCUUAUGUUCAGAUGGUAAAAAGCAUAUACAUGUAUAUGUUUUUAUUGGAUUUAAAUCUUAAAUUAUUGAUCAUCCAAAAUUACGGAGCUAUUUGAUUGCACAUAAUUACAAUUGUACUUUAUUUAUAAUUACACGUAGAUUCAAAUUUGGUAUUCAUUUUGAUGCAUUUGAAUUCAACUGUUACAGUUGUAGUUGCACAAGAAAGCUCAAGUGUAGUAGUUGGAAUUGCAUUUAAAUUGGCUACAAUUUUAACUCCAGCACUUGAAAGGAAUAAUUUCAAACAAAAAUUUAGUUGUAUGUAGUUUCGACUGCAGCACUUAAAAAAAAUAAUUUUUCAACAAAGAUAAACAAACCGAUCUCUCUAAUAACCUUUAAAAUUGAAUUCCCUUCCUACAAAAGGGGUAAUUUCAUCAUUUCCUAGAAAAUGAUAGAAAUUUGUAAAUACACUUCUCAACGGUAUACAACGGAACGUAGUAUUUAUAACUGCAGCAUUUACUACAACAUUCAAUAAAAUAAGAUACACAUAAUUAUAAUUAUUGUAUUGUUAACCGUAUAUUUUUUUAAUUAUACUGUAUUUAUAAUUAUAUCGAACAAAACAGCCGUAAGCACAGUACAUAGGAUGUACUAACACAGCUGUGCAGGGCAAAAGCUUGUCCUUGUGAUGACCAAAAAUUAAAUUAAAAAAAGGAAAAUCAAACUCAGAUUAUGGUUGUAUGAUGGGAUAGUUUUCCGUAACGAACUUAGAAACACAUGCUCGUGAAAAUGAUUAUAAUUAUUUGCACUAUAAUAAUGAUAGCAAUUAUGGGAUGAGCCAUCAAUUUUUUAGGCCACCCAUACACAACAUCAUGUUUCUUUGUGGUUUAGCUAACAUUAAUCGUAAUUUAAAUUAGAAUCAAAAUGCUUGUUCUAACCCCUCUCUAAAUUGUAAAAAAAAAAAUUGCGUCGUAAUCGGAUUGGAUUUUGAUUAGGAGAACGAACAGAUGAUGCAAAUUUGCAAAGUAGCAGUGUCAUCUUUAAUCUCCUGAAUUUGAGAUUUUUUAUUAUUAUUAUUAUUCUUUUUUUUUGUUUCCCAAAAAUUGUUUGGUUUAGUUUGUAAUAAUUAUAGCAAUACUGUAUGGUUUUCUUGAAAACCCAUUGUUUUUAAAAAAUAGGAGAAACUUCAAAUACCCCCUUGUGGUUUCAUUUUUUCUCACUUUAGUACCGUAUAGUUUAAAGUAGGGUUAUUUGCAUACACGUCCCUGCAAACAUAGUAAAUUGCGGAAAUAUCCCUGCAAAACGGAAACUCCAUAAGCUGUCCCUGCAAAAGUCCUAAUUUAUGCAGAUAUGUCCCUCUGAUUAACAUCUGUUAGAGAUCUGUUUAUUUUUUAACAGUUUUCAUGUGAAAUGACCAUUUUGCCCUCACAAAUAUAUCCCUCCAAAAGCAUCUUCCCCCUUGCUUUCUCUUCCUCUUCGGGCCGCCGGAGCGGAUGGCGGCGACGGCGCGGGUCGAGCUCGCCGGCGACAAAGAAGAGGGAAGAGAAAGAAUGAGAGGAAGAAAAAAAGGGAAGAGGAAGAAGAAGAGGAAGAGGGAGAGGAAGAGGGAAGAGAAAGAUGAAGAAGGAAAGGGUUCGUCGCCACGCGCCGCCGCCGCAUCUCCUCCCUCGCCGGCGACGAAGAAGAGGGAAGAGGAAGAGGAAGAGGAAAAGAAAGAGGGAGAGGAAGAAGAAGAGGGAGAGGGAGAGGGUUCGCCCGCCGUCGCAUCUUCUCCCUCGCCGGCGAUGAAGAAGAGGAAAGAGGAAGAGGGAGAGGAAGAAGAAGGGAGAAAAGGGAAGAGGGAGAGGAAGAAAGAGGAAAAGAAAGAGAGAGGGUUCGCCGUCGUCGCCGUCGUCGCCGCCGUCGCUGCCGCCGCCGCCCUCGCCGGCGACGAAGAAGAGGGAAGAAGAUGAUGAGGAAGAAGAAGAAGGGUAGGAUCGUAAAUUUACCUUAUACUUAACCAUGGUUAAGUACUUUAACCGUGGUUAAUGAAAAUUUUCUAACAGUCCUUAACGGCAGGGACAUAUCUGCAUAACUUUAGACUUUUGCAGGGAUAACUUAUGGAGUUUCCGUUUUGCAGGGAUAUUUCCGCAAUUGACUAUGUUUGCAAGGACCUGUAUGCAUUUAACCCUUUAAAGUAUAUCAAGUUAGUAUCAUAUGGUUUUGCACUUUUUUACUUUAGUACCCUGUGGUUUAAAGUGUAUUAAAUUAGUAUCCUAUGGUUUCGCACUUUCUUAUUUUAGUACCCUGUGGUUUCGCACUUUCUCACUUUAGUACCCUAUGGUUUAAAAAUCACAGGGUACUAACUUGAUACAAAAAUAAAACUACAGAGUACUAACUUGAUACAAAAAUAAAGCACAGAGUACUAACUUGAUACACUUUAAACCAUAGGGUACUAAAGUGAGAAAGUGCGAAACCACAGGGUACUAACUUGAUACACUUUAAGCCACAGGAAUAGUAAAUGAAAAAGUACAAAAUUACAGGGGGUUUUUUGAAGUUUUCCCUUAAAAAAAAACAAUAUUAAUGAGUAUGAGUUUUCAUAUCAGUGUCUGCAGAAGAGGGAAAGGCCCAUGGACAACAUUUAUUGAGCAGUUUAAUGGCACAUGCAAAAAGCCCAUCUCUAACUUCAAUUGAGAUCUCCCUUUGCAUGAUGUUGCGUCACGUGUAGUGAGACAGUGCGAUGAAAUAUACUCUAUUUAUUUUCGUACGUGCUCGCACAGAAAAACAUUUUUUCACCUGCAACCUACAUCAUAUUGGAGCCAUUUAGAUUUUUCUUUUCGGAGGUUAAAUUACAGAAAGCUCUCUUAUAAAUAUUCGUUUUUUCACUUUUCUUCCUAAUUUUUAAAAAUCUAUAUUCUAUCCACUCAAUAUUUCAAGUUAUUAUAUUUAACCUCCCUUGUCAGAAACUCAGGAUUUCAUUAUCAUUCCGUCCAUGUUUUAUAAUUUAUACUGAAAAUACAUUUCAAAAUAAUAAAAACAUAUUAAAAAAAUUUAUUUUUUUAUAAAAAAAGGAUAAUUUGAUCAUUUUCGCCUCUCCAUUAAUAACGUACUUUUCUGAAAAUAUUUCUAAAAUUUUAAAAAACAAAUAUAAAUUUUAAAAAAUUAGAGACAAAAAGUGAAAGAAAAUAGAUAUUUACUGAAACAUUUUUUAUAAUUUAGCCCCCCCCUUUUUUUUUUAAAGUGCUACUAACUGUUUUAAUGCUUGCAAAUAAUUCUUUUCGAAAACUAUUCAUUCAGAAAACUUCUGAUCGUUGUACAGUUGGCGUGAUAGGAUUUGGGGGAGUUUCAGGAACAUUUAUGGAAUCAAUAUUAAGAAUUGGGGUGUACAGUACAUGAGUAAAUAGUCACAAGGCACCUCAAAAUAUGACUUCAAAACUAAAUUCAUUCAAAUUGGAUUUGAAACGGGACUUAAACGAGACUAAACCAACUAAAAUUUCAAUAGUUUGAUUAGUUAUUAGGUUAUCUUAAAGUUGACCGACAUAGCAUAAAUUAUUAUUCUUAACAUCCAACAUUUCACAUUGGUUGAAACAAAAACCUAUCUACCUCCCAACACACUCUGGAAUAAAAGAUUUAGGGAUAACUUCAAACACACCCCCCCCCCCCAUGUAGUUUAAAGCAUAUCAAUUUACCCCCGUGGUUUCAUUUUUCUUUUUUUAUUAUCAAUUUUAUUAUCAAUUUUUCUUAAAUCAAUGACAAAAUUAAAAUUAAAAAAUACUAAAGUAAAAAUUCAAUAAAACUAUAUAGAUAUCUGAAGUUUUUUAUAUAUAAUUUAACGAAAUAUUAAAAAAAAAGCUACCGAAAAAAUAAAAACAAAACCACAGGAGAGCAAAUUAAUACACUUUAAACCACAGGGUACUAAAAUGAGAAAGUGCAAAACCACAUGGGUUUUUUUUUGAAGUAUUCCCAAAGAUUUAAACAACAGGCAGCAGAAGCAGAACCAUGGCCAAAGGGGUACACUUUGAAGAUGAUACAAACGAUUCCUUACCAUUUGCCCACCCUUUUAUAAGGGAAAAAAGAGAGGGCAAUAGACAGAUUUACCGAUCAAAACAAUGCGCAAAACAUUCCACAGAAAUCAGAUAUGUUCAUAUACCAGGAAACCGAGUUAAAACAACUGAGUUCGCACUGAUUACCGACGAUCAAAGAUAAGAUCCAAGGUUUAAAAGUUUAACACAUGAAGAUCGAUAUGUGAAAAAGAGUGUCAAACAGUUCCGUCGAUGGAAGCAGCGGCCCAACAAUACAACUCUUAGCAGUUAGGAGUUUUCUACAGGAAUAUGUCUCAAAUACAAGUUGCUACUAAUUAGCUUCUAGUUCUCUUAGAGAAGCUACAUGAUAACAGAGAAAGUAAGUACUUACCAAGGGAACGGCAUUCUCUAUAUUACCUUGAAACCCCAUUUAGGCACCCUGAAAAUUUGCGCAAUUUGUUUUAGGUACAAAUGUAAACAACAAAAAAAGGGGGAAAAACAGAAACUUCUAUCCAUCAACACCGCAACCAUCUACGUUGCACUACCAGCAUACCUACCUCCAAAUGCCACCCCCUUUUUUCCAAUUUGGAUAGCUAAAUCUGAAUAGGUAACAACACCAAUCUAUACAAAUUCCUACAAUUUAGAUUGCUAAAGAUGGGUAGGAGUAAACUCACCAACUGAUCCCAAAACCAAAGCUAAUACUGGCCAUACGUUUUGCCGUAAUCUUCAUGCCUCUGAUUUUGGUAGUCACUGUAUGCAUCAUGAGGCCUCGGAGCGGAAUAGUUCUCAUUGGGAUAUGGAUAUCUAUUCCUCGUAUCCAUGGAUAAUCCAGUAUUUCCUACAUAUUGCAUGUUCCUCUGAUCAUAAUCUGGGUAUGCAGGCCGAGUAUAAGCAGUUUGGAGGGCCUGAUGCUGCUGCCGUUGUAUUGUAUCGAGACGAAGAAACUCUUCCCACUGCUUCGAAUGCAUGCUCCUUAUGACUCCUAGCUUCUUCAUGUAGUUCUCUUUAAGCUCUCUAAUGAACUGCAUUCACAGGGUAAAAGAAAAGAGAAUUUACAUACAAAAUGAUGGGAGCGUGACCAAUAGAUUAUUGUACAGUUUUCGGCACACAUACCUCUGCAAAAAUGUGAAUUUGUCCAAAUAAUCAUGCAAAGUUGCUAUUUGCAAGUGUGCCCUCAAAAACCUUACUUAUUUGCAAGCCCCUACCAAGAUAUCUAUGCUUACACAGAAGAAUUUGCAUAGAAACCCUUUGCAGAGAAUGCCCACCAGAAAGUACAGUUUCAAGGGUACACACACAAAUACCAAAUUUGCAGGGGUACUUGUGCAAUGUCACCUAUGUAUGGGUACAUAUGCAAAGAAUCCUAGAAUGUUAUUCAAAGGACCCAGAAGUAAAUCUUUACAUUAGAAAAUAGCCUAUUAUGAAACAGCUAUUGAUGAGGAGCUUUAUUGUAUGCAAACUGGUUGCGUUGAAACCUAAUGAAAUGCAACUAGAAAAUCAAGAGUGCUUCUUUUUACAUUUCUUCCUUUAUUGAGAGAGAGAGAGAGAGAGAGAGAGAGAGAGAGAGAGGAAAAACAAAUAUUAAAUGGUAACUCUGCAGAAACAAAUAAUUAGAAAAAAAGUAUCUAACCGCACAUAAAAGCAAGCAAACUCUGAACCAUCAGUGCUUGUGUUAGUGGCUAAUGUGCUAUUGCAAAAGCUAUCAAGCUGACACAAAGUAAAGUGCCUUACCUUUUAUUUAUCAGAAUCGGAGAACAAUGUGAAGAAAAUCAGAGAAGAAAACACCAUUCUAAAAAUAAACACGUAGAAUCUAUCAGAAGCCCAUUUUUCAUACAAGGGAUCAGUUAAUUAAAAGUAAUGGACAAGUCAUUAACAAUAAAAUAUAAGAAAUGAAGCCUUACAAUUAUUCAACUCAAUAUCAACCAAUAUGUAGGUUUUAUUUCUGAAUCUGGGUUUCUAUGUGCUAGUUUAGCCAGACGAUUGCAUACUGAACAAAUUGGCAACAAAUUGGAAAAAUUUAGCAGGUUAGCACAAGAGUAUAACUUAUUUAACUCUAACCGUCUAGAAAUAUAGACUAUAUAAUUAUGUAAACAAAAAAAAAGGUGUCCAAAUCACCAGGAUCUGGUACAAGCAUACAGCAUGGUGGAUGCCACCCAGAAUGAACUCAUACCUAUGGUUAAAUUUUUAGUAGGUGUUUCCUUUGUUGAAAAACAAGGAGUCCCUGUUGCUGCACUGGGUGAAAUACCAUAACUACAUAAUGAAUAGAUUUGACCUGCUUACUUCAUACAAGAAAAGGUAUACUUAGCCCCGUGCCAACCUGAUGACAAAUAUAGGAAAAUGUCUCCCCAAAAUGCAAAAUAGUUUAUUCUUCUUGAAAUCUAAGGGCAUCGCCGACCAUACAAUUUCUAAAUUUAUUUACUCAUCUCAAUAGUGUAUAAUAAAACAUGCACAUAUUCAUUUCAGGCCUCACGAAAUCAACCAUAUAAACAUAGACCAGAAACUUUCCCAGGGUUAAAAGCAACACUUAUCACUUACCUUUCUUUUCACCGCUUACCUUUCUUUCUAAGUCAGAUGUGUUAAUGUAAUUCUUCAGAAUACCACAUGUACUUUAAAAAAAAAAAGGAGCAUGUAAACUACAUUUUUUGCGAUAAGCACGUAGAUUGAGUAGACUCUCUGUGAAUGUAAUGCAAAAGAUAAAUAUACUACAGAAAACAAGAUAGAGAAAUGAUGACUGGAAAAAUUUUCCUGAUCAUAACAGGAAAUUUUAGGGAAAACAAAAAUCAAAGUUUCGAAAUUUCUAUCAGUAAGCCCUACCUCGCGAUGCUUGUUGUUUUCUUCAUCCUCUUCUUGGUCCCUGAUUCUUGCCAGUUCUAAUGCUUCGCUCUUAAAUUCCAUUUCCAAUUCUUCCAAGCUCCGUUGAUAAGUAGGCAAGUCAAACUUACGCUCAGAACGAGACUCCGCCCUAUGCCUCUCGGUAUCCAAGCUAUUAGACCUAUGUGACCUGGAAUUACGAUCGUACCCAUCAUACUGUCUAUAUGCAUCACCGCCAAAAGAAGAGCGUGGUGGAGAUUUCGGUCGAGCUGAACGGCCUUUUGCUCCAUCAUUAGCAUAAGCUUCGCGAAACGAAUAAUGUGUAAGCGAUAUUACACUUUAUUAUAUAUUCAAAGGAGGAACAAUGCCAGAUGCUAUAAUAUUUGCUAGUUGAUCCAAUCCAUAAAAGUCUGAAAUACUUUGAGCAAACAAAUUUGAAUGGAAUAUAUUCUGUCUGACCCGGAACCAAGCAGAAAUCACUUGAUAUUCCGACACAUAAAGCUUGAACUUACCUCUUGCUACAAAAGAGGGACAGAACGAUAGGUAAUUUGGUAUAUCAUAAGACAAAGAAAAUUGGACUACCCGAACUUGCUAAGUUCCAACUACAGAAAUUUCUCUUAAAAAGCUGCUUCUAUCUCUCGUAAUGUCCCUACCUUGUGGAGAAUCCCUUGCAUAUUUGUGCAUAUUUUCACGUACACGAUCUUCAACACGCCUUUCCUGAUUAAAGCCUCUGUUUUGGACAAGUGACGUAUCUCUCGGACUAGAAUAAGAAGACCUUUGAGAUUCAGAACGCCUAAAGUGAGAACCCCUAGGGCUUCCAUCAGGGGAUCUCGACCGUGUCCUAUUUGAACUGUUGGGACUUCUGCUUUUACGUUUAUCCUCUUGAAUUAUUUUAUGCACCGCAUCUACACCUUUAGCUAGUAUUAACCUAUCCUUCCCACUAACUAUCAAAAAUUUCUCAUCCAUUUUAAUUUUGCAUCCAAUGUCCUUUUCAAUCUGACUUAUCACCUUUGGAGAGAAAAGUGCUCUCACUUGUUUAUCUCUAGCUGGAACUCUCUCAAAAAAGUCUGCAUUUUUACGAUUUGCCCCGAGAGUAGAUGGACAACCCUGUAAAAAAGGCAGGAAAAAAAAAUGAUAACAUAACCAUAUAAGAACACUGAUAAAACAUGCAAACAUGCAGCAUAUAGACGUAAGGCAGGAAUAAGUUUUCUUUUUUCUUCCCCCUGAAUCAUUCAGUGGAAUCCUAAAGUAUUUUGCAGAGACCCCUUAACUGCAGUCCAUUUUGAAAUAGGCCCCUUGAGCACUUUUAUUUUGAUUGACAUCCCCUCAACAUUUAAUUAUUUUGAUUCGACAUAUUUUACUAAAUUGAGUUGGAAAAUUAAUUAAAAAAACAGAUUCUUUAGCUAUCAGUCAUUGACUGUUAUUGAACAGAAGUUAACUUAUGAGCUGUUCAGAAUAGUUAACUGUAAUAGAUGCACCGUUAAAUUUAAAAAUAUUCCAAAUUUGAUUGUCAAAAUAACUUGAACCAAAAGUUGAGUGCAAGGCAAUCAAAAGAAAAGUAGUAGAAGAAUCAAUAAUUACGGAGGUUCCUCCACAUUUUUUUACCAAUAGUAAAUUAAUGGCUCAUACAAAUAUAAAUUAACUUAAUUCACAAUCAAUGUUUACUUAAUCCCAGAUUUUCCUGAUGAAACAACUCAAACCAAAACAAGCAAAAACUUGAGAAGGUGUCAAUCAAAAAAAUAUAUAUAUAGAGAGAGAGAGAGAGCGGCUACAAUGCUAUCAAUAGCACCAAGCGCUUGGUGCUACUAAGUUUUCCACCGUUAGAUUUACACCUUUGACCAUUUCUACCCGUUAGAUCAUACUAUUCAACUAACCACCCAUUCAACCCUAGGGGAUCACUAUCAUCUUAACCGCACAUCGCUUGGAGCUACUAAGUUUUCCGCCGUUAGAUUUACACCUUUGACCAUUUCUACCCGUUAGAUCAUACUAUUCAACUAACCACCCAUUCAACCCUAGGGGACCACUAUCAUCUUAACCGCACAUCGCUUCAUCCAAGGGCCGAAAACGUAAUACCACCAAUGACUUGGUGCUAUUGAUAGUAUUCUAGCCUAGUUCUCUCUCUCUCUCUCUCUCUCUCUCUCUCUCUAUAUAUAUAUAUAUAUAUAUAUAUGUGUGUGUGUGUGUGUGUGUAUGUACAUGUAGGUGCUACUGAUAGUAUUCUAGCCUAGUUCUAUAUAUAUAUAUAUAUAUAUGUGUGUGUGUGUGUGUGUGUGUUAUGUGUAUAUGUCUGUGUAUAUGUAUAUGUAUAUGUAUAUACGUGUGUGUGUAUAAAGUUGAAGGUCUAUACAAAAUGACCAAUAGCUAAGAGGCACUACAAACAUUUUUACCAAAUGUUCAUUUAAUGAAAAAUCUAUCUUUAAGAUUACUGAGGAAGAAAACUUACAUACCUGUGUAAAAUGACCCAAUUCACCACAUAUUUUGCAGAUCAUUUCCUCUUCCUUUCUUUUCUUCCAAUUCCUUUCAGUAGCCUUCGCCUUUGCCUCCCACACCUUAGCCUCUCUACUAGUAAAAUCAGUCGGAACAGCAUUAGGAUCCCGAGGCUCAUCUUCUUCAUCAGAUUGGCCACCAGGAAAAGCUCUCUUGUUAUCAUUUCCUUUUGGCACUGAAUUGUUGGCAGCGUUCGAUCCAACAGGUCCAGUGUAUGCUUUCCCAUAAACUUCAUUAAAGAGUUCAUCAUCUAUAUCGGGACUCGGAUCUCUCGCCAUUCAUAAAACAGAAUACAAGCCGAGGCCUUGAUCAGGUGCAAGAAUACAAACCCUGUUAAGUCCAGAAAGAUGAGCACCACUCAUGUGAUAUGUUUCUCAUUUUCAGCUCAGAAAAGGAGCGGAUAAACCAAUUACUAAAUUUAUGAAUCCCAUAUCUAUAUCUAUAUUUUACUGUUUUUAUAAGAAAAUAUAUUUAGUCGUUUCUUCUUCAACCUGUUUUGCUAGUUCUCGUAAUUCUACUAAUCUACUCUUACACAACGUAUUUAAUUCCAUUACCAUCUUCCACAUGCUCGUCUUCGGUAAUCAAAUUUCCUUACACUAAAUAAGCCUUCUUUGAACCUACCGCAUAACCUAUAAUAUGCUCUUUACAGUUAAAUAAAAAAAAUAAAAGGGUAAAAUGUAUAUAGCACCCAUACUACCAGAUAUCCCUGAAAAUUCCAUCCUAGGCGCAACCAAAGAAAAAAGUGACAACAACCAACAUUUACCUAUGUAAUGAUCUUCUAAACCUUGUUACAAGUACAUUUCCAGAAAAUCGACAAAAACAUUGGUUGUGGAUUGAUUACACAUAAAAGAGGCACAAAAAAAAGAUUUCGGGGUGGUGAAAGUUCUCCAAGUGUUUGGUUCCACAUAAAACACUUUUCAGUGGAAAACAGUUACGUAUUUUACACAAAACAAUUUGUUUCCAUUUUCCAGAUAUUUAUAAAUGGAGAAUGAAGAAUGAAAACUAUAAACUCCUCUUUGUCCCUCAUUAUCUUCAUUUUCUUUUUCCUGCAAACCAAACAUUUUAUGACAAGAAAACUAUUCACUUCAUGCCGAACCAAACUCCAACAAAGGUAAAUUUUCUUUUCCACGGGAAACACAUUUCCCCUGAAACCAAACACAACAAACGACACUUCCCUAUGAAACGAUCUUCUUAAUCUUGUUGUUUCAAGCAACACUGAGACAAAUGAAGCCAUUUUACAGAAGAUUCAACAAAAUUGAUCAAUAAGCACGAAGAAAAGAAAAAACAAGAGAAAAGAACUAACAAGAUCUAGUAAAUUACACCAAAAUAAAAGAGAGUAGAGAUUGGAUAAAGAAGAGCAAGGGAAUUACCUAUACUACAUCCAGUGAGAGAUCUAUGAAUAGCUUCGAGAGAAUCGGAGAGGAGAAGAGCGCGAGACGACGACGACGACGACGACGACGAGGAGGAGGAGGAGGAGGAAGCGAACGAAGAGAGCGAGGAGAGGAAAUGGAGAGGGUUAGGGUUAGGGUUAGGGUUUGUUGCGGUUGGGGGUUGGUUGAGUUGGGCCAGCCCAUUUACGAUUGCACGUUGUUUGGAUGAGGCCGAGUUCGAUUUUUACGGAGGCGGUAAAAGUAAUCCGAACCCAUUGGGUUAUCCCGAUUCGACCCGAUUUGGAUCGGGUUAUGGUUAUACUCAUUUUGGUAGGCCGAAAAGAACGGGUUUGGCCUUUUAAGGUUCUUAAGGUGUCCUUUAUCUAACCCGAUUUGGAUCGGGUUAUGUUUGUUUUCGUACAUAAAAUUAUAUUCCGCGAAUUACAAUAAAUCAGUUACAAUAUAUUUUAUGCAGUCCCACUGAAAAAUAAAGAAGCGUAUUAUUAUAUGCUUUCGUCCCAACACCUUUCUCGGCCUACUAGCUUUAGGCGAGCGUCAGUACCAAACGGGCUCUUGGUUUACAAUUAUUAUUUGCGGUAAAACUUUGUUCGAACGUGCGACCUUGCUAGCCGACAAAUUUACCAAUUAUAGUAUUAUCAUAUAACUCCUUACAAUGUAAAUAUAAACUUGGUUUAACAUGACUGUACAGAGCACUCGGUAAAUAUUCUGUAUGUUGGAUUAUGACACCGUUGCGAUAUCGUAUCUGUGCCUAUUCCAUAAAUAUUCUUACGAAUUUAUUUAUCUACAUACAUUUUUACUCUUUGAAAAUGUAGUUUCACAUAAAAUUUACAUGGAAUAACAUAAAAAUGAGUACCUUGCAAUAACAUGUGAGAGAAAAUUUUCUCUUCCAUAGUUUUUGGCACAUGCACCAUGCAUUCUCUCCUCUUAGAUUUCACUCAGCACAUCUCUUAACAUGCCAAAGGAGUGGAAAUCCAACAUUCUAAUUGUAUGCAACUGUUGUGAAUACUUUUCUUUUAUUAUUAUUACUAUUAUUAGGUUAAAUUACAAAAAAAAAAAAAUCCUUCCGUAAAUAUAUAUUUUUUCUUCCUGACUUUUAAAAAUCAACAUUUGGUCCCUUUAAAAUUUAUAAAAUAUUUUUAGGGCUAUACAGCAUUAAUGAGAGGGCAAAAUGAUCAAAUUAUCUUUACUUUUUCUGUAAAAAAAUAAUUUUUAAAUAUAUUUCUGUCGUUUCAAAUGGUAUUUUAGAUAUAAAUUAUAAGAAAAUAAACGAAAUAGUAAGAGAAUAAAAUAUAAGUUUUUGAAACUUAGGGACGAAAAGUGAAAAAAUGAGUAUUUAUAAAAAAAAAUUUAUGUGAUUUAACGUUAUUAUUAUUAUUGAACUUCUCGGUACGCUCUUGAAUUCCAGAAAUCUCUCCAUAUACAAAUACCAAUUUUUUUUUACCCACAAACUCAAAGGCUCUGUAGCCCCAUUUUCUCAAAUGCCCAAGGGAGAAAUCAAAUUCCAACAUCUUAGCAAGCAAUAUACUUUUGGUUUGCGAAAUGCUCCACUCAAAUAGAAAAAUCAUUACUUAGGCUCUGUUUGUCGUGUUCUUCUUGACGAGAUUAGUUAUAAUCAUCUGUUCUCCAUUUCAUCUCUAUUAUCAAGCGAAUUAUUACCUCCUCAAGAUUAACAAAUUAUUUUGUAAAAGCUGUGAUCAUAUAUGGAAAGUGACUGGGAGUCAAGAGGGCAAAUCAAUGCGCAGUCCUCGGCUGAUGUGGUGCACCAGGUCCAAACAAAGAAUUUCUUACCAAGUGGAGUAGCUGUUCCAAAAUUGUGGGCCAACAGUUUUCUCCUUUCCCAGCCCACAAUGAGCCCUUGAUAACAUAUAUAAAUAUAUAAUAGGGAAAACUUAAAAAAAACCCCUUGUAGUUUCACUUUUUCUCACUUUAGUCCCCUGGGAUUUAAAGUGUAUUAAGUUAGUACCAUGUGGUUUCGCACUUUCUCACUUUAGUACUCUGUGGUUUAAUAUUUCAUUCGGAGAAAAAUAAAACCACAGGGUACUAACUUGAUACAAAAAUAAAACCACAUGGUACUAACUUGAUACAAAAAUAAAACCACGGAGUACUAACUUGAUACACUUUAAACCGCAGGGUACUCAAGUGAGAAAGUGCAAAACCACAGGUACUAACUUGAUACACUUUAAACCACAGGGUACUAAAAUAAAAAAAAUGUGAAACCAUAAGGGGAGUUUUUGAAGUUUUCCCUGUAUAAUAAGGUGGGGCCUUUGUUAUCCAUCGUAAGCCCAUUUUAUUUUCCAAGCCAACUUUAUUUUGUAUAAACUAGAAGAGAAGCAAAGUGAAGAUAUAUAAUAUAGUAGUUCUAGGAUCAUUUAACCAAUGCAUAAUACUCCACAUUAACACAAAUUCUGAUGCAAAAUUAACUAAUUAACAAGAUACAUUCUCUUGACCGAAAAAACAAAAGACAAAAAUAAAAAUCGUUCAUUCUCCUGAUAACAUCUUAAGAGCAAUUUGCAUCCCUUGCACUUGCACCUUCAAACAUGCAAUGUAAUCCGCAGCCUCUCGAAAGAGCCCGCGGAGACCCACCGACGACUCACCGCCACUCGGCACGAGCCUCCGGAGUGCCCCGACAUGUCGGUCGAGGGCCCGAACUGGCCUUCUCGAGCUUACCAGAAGCUUUCUCCUCUUGACUUUGAGAAGCCUCCUCCUCCUCUCUAGAGCGAGUCGCACCGAGGCUCGAGCCCAACGUGACCUCAAGCUAAGAUGGUUUGACUUGUCGAGCUGUUCGGAGAAGCCGAUCGAGUCGAGAGCCAAGAGGAGGGAUUGUGUAGAGGAAGGCAUGGUUUGAUGUUGCUUUUGUGGAACCUUGCUUUCCUUUUUAGAGAGGACUUUUAGUCCUAGUGGUGCUAGUACAAGGCUCAAGUGUACCCUUGGCCUCAGGAGGAGCCCUCUUUAUAUAUGGUUUUGGAAGUAAGAUGUGUGUGGAUAGGCUCCCAAUCUCAUUAGUUUUAUAAUGCUUAUGGUAAUGAUUGUGGAGAUAGAGAGAGGGGUGGGGGAGUAUAUAGCUUUGGUGCAUGGGUAAUGUUUUUUUUUUCACUAACACAAUGCACAUGGACUCACAUGAACCCUUUAGAGGCCAACCUACUUCAUCCAUCCCUACCCCUUCUCUCCUUUCCAAUGUUCCCAUCCCUUUUUCUCAUCAAAACACCCUGGAUUAUUCUCUCUCUCUCUCUCUCUCUCUCUCUAGACAUAUUGUAUAUACUACAAAUGAGGACCUUCACACCCAAAAUCCAGCUCAAUCAUACAUGUCAUGGGUCCAUGGGUCCACUAUUGGGGCUCAAGGAGAGGAGAGGCCAAAGUGGUAAGCCCACUUAAGCUUAUUGUUUCCCUAUAGGAGACCCUAAAAGUGGCUUAAUCUAAGAAAUGAUGACAAUGUCUUCCUCAACAUCAAAGCAUCCUAAGAUUAUAAAAAUUGUACUUUUAUAUUAAUCUUUCAUUUCCCUAGCAUAUUUAUGUCGUCGUAGGCACGUAAACUAUAGAAACAAUUAAAUGAUUGAUUAUUUACGAGGGGGAUAAAAAAAGGGAAUUAGGCCCAUUGAAUCACAUGCUAAGUUAGGCCCCUCCUCUAGAGAAAACUUGUAUUGUAAUCCAUGAUUAAUUGGUUGCUUAAAGAGCAUCUUUUGAUCAUGGCCAUGCAUGGUUUAGGUACAAUGAAAAGAUUAUCCAUGUCAUGGUUCAAUUACGACGCAACGCGUGUAAGUAAGAAAAAAUUGUGAUUCCAAAUCAUAGUUGGCAUUCAUAUUCCUACAACAAACCAUACUACAAUUGUUAAUUAUUUGCUUUGUUGGUCACUUCUCACAUCUUCUAUUCCUAUAAACUUGGGCUUAUGGAGUAGUACUCCUCAUCCAUUUUCAAAAAAAACUAGGGAAAAAAAAAUAAAGAAAAGAUAACUAUCAUGAUGAAUAAUUGUAUAAACAAAAAGUAUUGCAAAUUUGAUAAGCCAAAUACUUUGUUAGGCUUCAUUUAAUUGCUACUCAGCCAAUAAAUGCUACAAGAAUGUUUUGGAAAUUAAUACAAGCUAAAGUCCAUAUAUAUAGUGUUUUCACCCUUUUAAGCAUAAAAUGGUUCAACUAUUAUUAUCCUAAUGAAAACUAAUGAAGCAAGUGUGAGAUGGGCCAUUUCAUGAAUCAUUGUUGUUAUGGUGCUAGUGCUUAAGUACCAUUAAUUGCAUGUGCUUUAGGCCGAAAAAUCGUGGCUAUAAUGAUCCUAGCUAGUGAAACCAUAUGCUCAAAGUUUUUGAACCCAAAUGAUACCUUGAUCAACUCUAUAUAUAGGUAGGUUAGUCUUAAUCAUGAGUUGUCUAUGCUAGCUGGCAUGCAUGCAUCGGAUAUAUAGCACAUAUCGAGUCAGCAAGGUAUCGACAUAGUAUAUCCUUCUAAACUGAUCAUAGCACAGUGUAAAAACUACUUUUUCUCUGCUUUUUCUUAAGAAAACAGUUCAAUAUAACGACGAUGAUUAAACUGAGGUAUGUUUAAGAGCUCAACAUCUCAAAUGCCGAAGUUAAAAAUGUCGCUGUAUAUCUUUCUUCUUAUUUAUUUUAUUUUGGAGAGAGAUAGGUAGCAUGCUACCUGCUUCGUUUAUUUCUUUUAAAAAUAAACUUAGCUGGAAAUGUGAAUCAUUUAGGAUUCGAACUUAGAAUUUCGGAUACCAACUACUAAGCUCUUUGUCAUUUGAUGUCGUUGUAUAUCAUACCCAGAAGAAAUCAAAAUGUGCAUGUGCCACUGCCCAAAUAGGAGACAACUUCUACGCAUGCAAGAGUCCCAUCAACAAUGCAACCAAAGUGGGGAAUAGUAUUUGGGGUGGCAAAUACAUAUGGGAUAUUCUUUGCUCUCCCAGUCCUUUUCCCAUUUUGAGCUAUAUAGUAGGUCUCACCUCCUUGAGACAUUGGUCUCCAUUUCUACAUGUGGUUGUGUACUGCUCUACAUAUGUAUCCUUGUCAUCUAUCAUGGCGUGUAUCAUCAUCAACCAUAUAACCUACCUCUCCAUGGGACCCCUUCUUUGGCUCCUCCCAAGUGGAAGAUCUAUCCAAACCCUAAUCAAUGUCCCAAUCAAAAGAAAAAGGCCAUAGUGUCCUAUCCUUGCCAUGAUUAUGUUCUCAUAUGUUUAAUUCAAAAAUGUUAGAUCAUUAGAACUAACCACAAUUUUAAAAACUGAAACUAUUAGCAAGGGGACAAUAUCCAUUCACUUAAACAUAAAGACCAGUGUGGCUAAGUUUUCGAUUGUAAUUUAAUCUUUUUGCGAAGCUGGAACCCUGUGAUCUCAAAGUUGAGAAGUGGAUACCUAACCACUAGCCUCACUACAACAGAAUUAAGUUAUAGGGACACAUGUUUGUGAUACUUUUGAAUAAGUGUCCCAUUUAUACUAAAAUUUAAAAAAACAUCUACUAAUGCCUAAAUAUAAAGCCCAAUCCAACUAAAAAUAAAAGAUUACCCUACUCAACCCACCACACCCAGUCCAUUUGGCCCGAUUACAAACAGAAAAGAAAAAUAAAAGAAAAAUUAAUUACCAUCUUUUCUUCUCUCUUCACUCAAUCCACUGAAAUUUUAGACGAAGAGCCUUUCCUGUCGUCCUCCUCCGCCACCGCAGCCAACGAGAUAGAGUUUCCGCGGUUGCUAAAUGCUUAAAUAAGUGUUGGUAAAUUAGCAGUACUCUUUUAGGUUAUAGCGACACUCUUUAACUGUCACUAUAUAUCUAGCGACCCCACAUAUAGCAACACUUUUUAAAAGUGUCAGUAAUUUUAGCUAGCAGCAUUUUUUUGACAUGUACCUAUAUUUAAAAGUGUCGCUAUAGACUGUUUUUGUUGUAGUGACCGGUACUCAAUGAUAUCGAACUACUCUCAAAUCUUUUGUUUCUAACUUUUUAAGAUUUCUUUUUUUACACUUUUUUUUUGGGUCCUUGAAAUUUGUGUCUAAUGCCACUCUAUUUCAUAAAGCACCUUUGAACCUUGUAAAUGUAGAUAUAUAUAAUAUUUAUUAUCUAUGGUGAAGUACUCCUUCUACAUCUAGCAACCCACAUGAGUAUUUGAUAUGACCUAGGGAGUACACAUGUAUAAUCCAAAUCCUACCUAACAAAUUCACUUGUGUCACAUUAGAGACAUUAAUUCCAUUGAUAAACAAUUUUAAUUGUGUUAGAUAGAAAGUGUUUUACGCGAUGCUGAUGAUCCCUCUAUAUUUACUGAUGUGCUGAUAAUUAUAAUAUACGUCAAUCUACACAUGAUACCUAAUUAAACAAGAUUUAAAUAUAUCCUAUUACUUUAAAUUACUAUAACAUAGGGUUUUAAAAAUGUUGAUCUGAUUAAUCCAACCCCUAACCCUAAUUAUUACCAUCCUACUUACUAAAGUCCUAAUGGCUGCAACAACAGAGUAGAGCACUGUAUGCACUCUUGGGUGCAAGACAUAAAGAGUUAAUUGGCUUUUGGGUAAUUGGUGGCUGUGGAAACACCACAUCCUUUAUAAAUUACUAUUCAGACAUCAAGUCAUUUUUUUCACUGUAUAUUAAAAUAAAUCACCUCGUAAAUGAAAUAUACUAUAUAUCCUAUCAAAUUAUAGAUAAGGAAGCAAGAAUCAAACCCUUUACUUGCAAUUAUACUAGAAAAUUUUCAUACAGAAUAAGUUAUUCGUGAAUAACUUAUUCCGACAUCCAACCAGGGUUUAGAGAGAUAGAUAUCGAAAGGGGAGAUAGAAUAUUAGUGGAAAGAUAAUUUUAAUUUAGGCGGUCGACCGAUGACGACGAUGGACUAGAGCUAGCUAGGCAAUGAAUCUAUAUAGCAAACUAACACUAUAAAGAAAUCUCAUUAUAAGGACUUUUUCCGGUCGACGCUAGAGGAAAGCAUUUUUAAGUUUCUCUAUAUAUAACAAAUACCGACGCUUUAAAAAAUAUCGUCAUAUGAACCGUUUACGGUAUCAAACCAAUUCAUUAUAUUUAAUAUUCCGACGCUUUAAAGCGUUAGAAUUUUAACACAGUUUAAAAUAACAGAAUAUAUAUAUUUUCACUGACGCAUAAUAAAAGUAUCGACAUAUAUAUAUAUAUAUGAUGACUCUUUAUUUACCUAAAUUUUUAAAUAUAUCGCGCUACUUUAGAAUACUAUAUAUUAAGUAUCAUUAUAUAUAUAUAUAUUGUAGUGUAAGUGGUAUGCCUAAUAUUUCAAUGCUACAAAAGGAAAGGACCCCAUGAACUAGACCAUUAAUUCUCCAGCUUUGUUUUGGGCCUACCCUUUCCAUAUUUGUGUCUUUUUUAGUACAGCUAAUUAAUGUCCCCCAUGGGUUUUAUUUAUUAAGUAAAAGCUUAUUAUUACUCGAACCUGGAUUACUCUCUCUCUCUUAUUUAUAAAAUUUUUGCUAGGUUAAUUUAUGGUCUCUGAACACGGUUAUCAUAAUAUUUAUACUUCGUAUUCCAAAUGCGCAAUUUUUGUUUGUUUUUGUUUUAGUAAACCGCAUAUCAAAUUGCGUUUACCAUUAAUAUAUAAUAAUGAUCAUAUAGAUUUACUUCUACGUAAUAUUGUUAUUGUUAUUAUUAUAAUAUAUUAGUAUAGCAUGAAUUAUAUAAUUAUUUAUUAUUUAUUUAUUUAUAUUAAUUAUUUUUUGAUAAUACAAAAAUAGUGCCACGUGGCGGAUGCAGAUAUGGCAACUUGCAAGUGGUUGCAUGGAGCUGUGGAGGUCGCAUGUGCACGGUGAUGUGGCCACGUGCGUCCUUUCGCUCUCAUCAUCUCACCGUGGAAACCUUGCCACGUCAGAUUAAAUUGGCGCUUCUGUUUUAGGGGGGUUUAAUUCGUUCGGUUUGAUUCUGUUUCGGAAUAAAUUUAGAGUUUAUUUGGUUCGAAGUUAGAAUCAGUAUCGAAAUUAGAAUCAGAAAAAAAAAUAAGUUAGAAAUAAAAUCAAAAUGAUUUAUUAUUUCAUUCUGUUUGAUCCGUCGUCAGAGUCAGAAUAAACCAUUCUUAUUGUCGGCAUUUGGCUCAGACAGAUAUAAAAAGCGUAAUCAAAUUAAUGUGUCAAUUUUAUAUUUAUAAUAUAUUAGUUUAAAUUCAAAUUGAAAAUUUAAUAUUAAAACUUUACGUCAAAAUUUUAAAAUGAUGUCAAAAUUUUAAAUAUGUUUUUUUAAAAAAAUUAAAACUUGAAAUUAAACGAAUAAUUCAAAAUGUAAAACUAAAAUUUGAUUUAUUCAAAUUCAAACUUAAAAUUAUAAUUUAAAUUUCGAUUUGAAUCCAUAAAUUUAAUUUAAAUUUUAAAUAAAAUUUGAAUAAAACUUUAGGUUUUUAAAUUAAAUUUAAAUUUAAAUUCAAAUUUAUAAAAUAGAUUUGAAAUGCUUGAUUGAAUUUUAAUUUUUAAUUUAAGUUCAAAUUAAAAUUUAAAUUUAUAAAUAUACUUUUUAAACUUAAAUUUAUAUUUUAAUUACAAAAUAAGAUAAAAAAGUUAAAUUUAAUCCAAACAAAUUCAUUCCGUCCGGAUUCAAUUUUAGAUUCGCGCGGUCUCUUAGGCCGGACUGAAAAAAAGGAUAAUUGGGAAAUUCCCAUUCACCCGGGAAUCGAAAUCGGAAUGAAAAUUCUGCAUAUCAAAUACGGACAAACGGAUUCGUUCAUUCCGACUCUGAUUCCAUGGUGAAAAAGGGUUGAACCAAACACGCCCUUAUAAAAUUGAACCAUUAGAAAAUCACACACAAAAAAAUUUAAUUACAAUUAUUAAAUUUUAGUUAAUAUAUCAAUAUAUGAUCAUACGAUUUGAUCAUAAUAAAUAGUGAAAACAAAGUGUAAAGAAAAUUAUUAUUCGAUUAAUUUUUAGUUCGGUUCUAUUAAGAAAUACAUUCAUAUCAAACCGAAAUCGCAUAUCGAAUUUUAAUAAAAAUUUAAAAAUCGAACCAAACCGAAAACUAUAUAAAUUGAAACAAAUAGUCUUAUUUGAUUUGGUUUGGUUUGGGACCAGACCGUGUACACACCUACAUAUGUUGGAUUUUUCUUUUUUAUUUUUCAAAUAAGCCAUAGAUUUCACUUUUGAGAUUCUUUUGCAUAAAAGUUUAUUGAUUUUAUAAUUUUUAUAAAUCUAAUCUCUUUUUUUAGAUUUCAUAAAUUUGGCCUGUUUCUAUAUAAUUUUGAUUAAAUUGUUCUUCUUUCAAAAUACAUAUAUAUAUUAAAUUUUUUAGAAAGUGUAACAGAUAAGUUAUAAUUACUUGUGUCUUUUUCUCAAAAUAUGAAAAUUCUUAUAUCUAAUAAAAAAUAAAAAGUUAGAAAUAAUAAGCAAAAAAAAAAGGGAGCAAUACUUUUUUAAAUGGUGAAAUACAAGUAUAAAUGGUGUAAUUUUUGCAACACAAAAAAAAAUACAAUAUUUGUAUAAAUUGUGUAAUAUAAAUAUAAAUUGUGCAAUUGAAGACACUCUAAAGGAUAAUAUAAUUGAUAUUAAAACUCGUAUUAGAGUUAUAAUAAUCAUAAUCAAUUAAUGAUGCUAAUUAAUUAAUUAUGUUAAAAGCUUGUACAUUGAUAGAAAAGGGGGGACCAAUUAAUUUUCCUAAGGUGCAAUUUGCGUUUACAAAGUAUACUCUAAAUUUCUCUUUUAAUCAUCUCCGCAAGAAUAGAAUACUGAUCUACUUGCCGAUAAUUAAUAUUAUCUCUCAAAACAAAAUAAAAUAUUAAAAAAAAUAAUAAAAAGAAAAUGGAGUGUGAGUGAAUAUGAAAUUAAAAAUCAGAAAUUAAUGCAUGUACUCCACAAUGCAAUCAUUCGCAUUCAAUCCAUUUAUUUUUUAAAGAUUUUUUUUUUUCCAAAAAGAUAAUUUUUUGGGACCUUGUAGAAAAGCCAAUAAAAGUGGGAUGUAGACAACUAAAAAGUACUUCUUUUGGAAGCUCUCUCAUUGGUCACCAAAAGUGGCCCCACCACCUCAAUUAAUUGUCUAGAAAAGUCUUAUUUAAUGUAACACAAGUAUUCCAACAUAAGAAAAAAGUUAAAUUAUAAAUAAUAUAAUAAAUUUUAUUUGUAAAAUUGGUUGCAUACUAUUAUUCCUACACAGAGAUUAUAAUGAUGGAUAAGAAUUUCUCUCAUUUGUAAUGGCUUUUUCCACUCUCAUGAUCCAUGAGAUGAGAGGGGACCAUUUUCACAAAUUUCUAUGUUGGUGAUAAUACUAGUUAUUUUUGCACAUUACAUCUUUUUCUAUAUCUCUUCAUUUAUGUUCUAUUUCAGGCUAAUAUUCGUGCGUUUCAGAAUUUGUCUAGUUGUGCUGAAGCUUUUGCAAAAAUACCACGUAUCACUGUUUGGACAAGAGAAAUGUUAGCUUCUGGUCGGACAUUUAGUGCGGAGAAUUUUCCGUAGGGACAACAUUUCCACUCAUCUUCAAUGAAGCAGUGCACGAGGACGGUUUCGUGGGGAGGGAAUGGAAACGAGAGACGAUUCCGCUAGCUAGGCAUUGUACCUUCUACACAACUUACAAAGGGAAAUGCUUUAAGACUCAGAAAGAAAGCUAUGAGGUUAAUUGAAGAUGGUCCCCCUUCUCAAUACUUCUCGAUCAAAUCACUCUAUACAUACCUUCAUGAUGGUGCUGUUAGAAGUUUGAGCAAGUCGCAACACUGGAAGACCUACACCCCGCUUAAAGUCAGAAUUUUCGUCUGGAUUGUUCUGAAGAAAAGAUAUUUACGGUAGAUAAUUGUACGAAAGAGGGGCUGGCGGAAAGAGAAGGGCUAAGUACUCUGUUUUGAUGAUGUCGAGACAGUCGACCGCUUAUUCGCCAAAUGUCGGAUUACGAAACUCUUGCUAGAAUGCUUGAUGGCUGACAAGGGGGGGUCAUUCAUCAGUACUCCUCACAGGCGACCUUUGGGAGGUUAGUCGACUAAAGAUCGACGGGCACCACAAGACGACAGACGUUAGAAAAUUGUUACUAUCUGGUGAGUUAUUUCGCUCGAGAGAAAAAACAAAUCUUUCAGAAAAAAAAAAAAAAAAUUGCUUUGAGACAACUAGUGUUGGAUGUUAGAUUUCUUAGGGGCCCAUGAAAAGAGUUCCGAGUGAAGUAAAAUUGUUCUCCUUUCUUUUUUAUUCCUCUUCAUUUUCGGUUUCUCUUUUUUAUUUGAAAGUUUGUUAUCUCAGUCCCGUAGCCCAGUACAUCCACUAAUGAAUAAAACAAUAACAUCGAUGUGACUAAUGAAGAAGUUUCCACUCUAAAAUGGAUAGGUGUAUGAAUAGCAUUGCUCUUUAAAGAUGUGACUACGUACUGAAAUUCGUCCAUCUUAAAAUAAGUAGAGUGUACAUCAUAUACCCUCGUUGGGGUGUAUAAGUUGCAUUGCUCUUUCUUUAAACUAUUCAGGCAAGAAAAAUCGAGGAUCGAAACUUCUGGUUUCGAUGCUUUCGAUUGUUCAAAUUUGAAUCGGUUUAAUGGCUUGGUGGAAUCGAUUGAUAAACUUAAGCUCCAUGAUGGAUGCUUCUUUUAAUUAGUCCACAUACCAUUGAUCACUUACACAUUACAUGCAUGCCCCCUCAAUAAGUCGAAGAGGACCCUUAAUAUAUGUAUUUAUAUAUAUAUAUAUAUAUAUAUAUAUAUAUAUAUAUAUAUAUAUAUCAUUCACGUAAAAAUUUGGUGAUGAACAAAAAAGCGCCAAGCAAUAUAGUAGUUUGUGAUCAGGAAAACCUUGUUGUAGACCAAAGUUCAAAAUGGAAGCGACCACAAAUUGUCCCACUCAAAAUCUAUAUCUGUAUUAGUGAAAAGUAAAACAAGGCAUUUUCCUUUUGGCGGUUGUUGGGGGUCAUUUUAACUCAUUUACUUGCGGCAUUACAUCUAAUGCUUUCAAUUCAACGGUCCACUCUCUAAGUGGGGAUCCGUGUGACAUGAAAUUAUCUAAUGCAACUUAGCAGGCUAAUGGACAAAUAUAUAGAGACUGAUUGGAUGUUUUUCAAGCACAAUAUUAUUGAGACAGAUGCAUACAGCGGAUCUAAGAGCGGGAGGGGUUCCCUACUACACCACCUCCCGCCUUAUUUUCUUAAAAGUUGAAAUAGAUUCGGAACAGAUCAAUUUUUAUUUUAUUUUCUGCUCUUAUUUGUCACUUUAUUCACCAUAAUUUUCGGAUUCGUGAGCCAUUUGAUACACACUGCGCCUUGAUCUUAAAGUUUCAUUUGAGUCGAAAAAUCAUCAGUGUCACAAUGGGCGGGGGGGGGUGCGAAUUUAAAAAUACAGUAAAGGUCCCCUUUAUGUGAAGUUUUCCCCUCUUUUUUUUUUUUUUUUUUUUUUUUUUUUUUUUUUUUUUUUUUUUUUUUAAGAAAGAUGCGCAAAACUAGGAGGCCACGGCACACGGGAAGAUCGAGGACUUAAUUUUAAUUAUAGUAACAAAGAGGGCCUACCGCUAAUAAUGCGACCAGUGCACGGUUUCUCCCUGCUUUUCUCAACGCGGCGCGGACCCCACCUCUCAUCUCGCGCUUCCUCAAGAACAUUUGAUCCCUACAACUAGGGUCGGACGACGAAACUUUGAUCUGCUGCGACAAAACUAUGCGGAAUCCAAAUAUCGCGGUUUCGGAAACUCUAUUAAGGUUUCUAUACUUCCUUUUUUUUAUUUUUUGGAUCUUUACGUACACGGAUCGCAUCGAAUGAUUUUAUAGCGUUAUACGUUAAGACCUAUGAUUGAAUUUAGAAUCAAUAAUAAUAUCUCCUGCACAGCAGGUUGUAUGCGUCAACGAUGAGACCAUCACGUCCGUCCAUCUUUCUCUUCCGAAUCUUAGGAGCCUAUUGAUUUAGUUUUAAAUCAAACUUACGAGCCAGAGUAGAAGAAAUGCAAUAUUGAUGUAACUAUUAGUUAAAAGAUUUGACCCCUCCACACAUUAAAAAUGCACGGUCCAGAUUCGAACGCACAAUCUGAUAAGAUUUUGAGGAGAUUUAGAAUUAACUUUGGAUAUCAUAUUAUUCUUGGUAUAAAUAAAUAGCUGCCUAAAUUAUCUUUGUUGAUUUUGUAGUUGGCAUGGUGCAUGCAGGGCUCUGCGAUGCGUGCUAGUCACAAAAAAUGUGUGUGCCAAUACAUAAUAAUAUGAAAUAUUUAUUUUUUUCAGCAAUAAAAUAUUAUAAUUAUUUAUUAUAUAUUUUUAUCAAAAUUUUUUAAUUUAUUUAGAAAACUAAUUACUAAUUUAAAAAAAGUUGUGCCAUCAAUGCAUAUAAUUUUCGUGCCGAUAUCUUAUUGACGUCAUAUUAUUCUGUAGAUACAACUCACACUGAUAGACACUUAAAUUCUUAAUAAUAAAAUAUUAUUAAUUAAUCCAAUGUAAGGACACAUCAGACUUGGCCGCAAAAUAAAUGAGCAGCAACAAAAACGCGCCAGCCUGGGAAUGUCGCCUCUACCUGCUGCAGGUAGAGUGAAGUCCGUGUCGCGAUCUUCCGUCCCCUACUCCUCUCUUAUCGGAAACAACUGUAGCUUAUAACAAUUAUAUAUUAAAUAAUCCAUCUUAUCUAAUACAGUUCGCUAAAAAUUUAAUGAUCGAGGUUCAAAAUUACAAAUUUGAAGUCGAUUUUCCAUGAAUUCAUUUCUUAAAAACGAACGAAGCGGUUAUUUAAGAGAUCAUUUAGUUGGAUGAAAUAUUUUUUUUUUUAAGGGACGAGAGGGAUAAAUAUAUCAGUUGUAAUCGAACCUCAUCAUAUAAUUAGAUAAGCAAUAAAAUUGCGACUGUAUACAACCAAAUAGCCCUAAAAUGUUAAUGAAAUUGAGUGAUGGGCUGUUGCUUCUUAUUAAAAAUGAAAAAAAAAAAAAAAGUAGUUGACACAGCAUUAAAAAUUGACAUUUAUUAUGUAAAAUACCCGGACUUUAAAUUCUUUACAUGACCAUUAUUAUUGUUCUAAAUAAUGCUAGAGACUACACAGCAUGCAAAUGAUACAUCCAUAUAUGCACCACAAUGCCAUGCUCUCUCUCCUUUACUUUUAAAUCAAUAUUAAAAUUUCAUGCAAGAAAAAUUAAUUAUAAUAAAAAAAAAUUGAUAUAUACAUAUAUCUUGUUAUGGCGCAUGAAAUACAAAUAGGCAAAUUACCAAAAUACCAUUACGCUGGGGCUAAAAAAGCAGCAUUCAAUUACACAGGUUGCGUCAAAGAUACAACCGAACGAAAGGGGGCAAAAAAGGAAAAAUAAAAGAGGCAACAAAAUAUACAACAAAAUUACGCAAAAUAUAAAGGCGGAAAAUUAAAAAACAAAAUUAGAAAAAAAAGGAGAGGAAGAGAGAGACAGAGAGAGAGAGAGGGGGAGAGGGAGAUGGACCUUNGAGGGAGAUGGACCUUGGGCCGGGGCGGGGCGAGGGGGUUCAGGCCGGUUCUGACGAACCGGUCCGGUCGGGUUCGGACGAGCCGGGCCGGUCCGGUCCGAGGGCGGAUAAGACCCGGGCGAGCGCGCUCAUGGCGCGGACCUGCAUCUCGAGCGCGGCGAUGUAGUCGGAGGCCUCCUCGAUGAGCUUCGGGAACGAGAGCCUCCUCCCGCCGGGGACGAGCCGCCCCAGAACCCUCUCCUUCCCCCCAGUCCCCCUCCUCAUCCUCCUCCUCCGCCGCAGCGCCGCCGCGCCGGAGGCGGCGGCGACGCCGCCGAUCUCCGGCCGCCGAGCCGAGGCCGCGAGCCGCCGAGGCGCCGCACGCGCCUUCGCGAGGAUCGCGCGGCUCCACCGCGUCCGCCCCCGCGCCGCCACCGCCAGGGCCCGAUCCGCCGCCUCCCGCACCAGCCGGCUCCGCGGCGGCGGCGCCGCCGCCGCCGCCGUGUUGCGGCGCACGCGGCGGAGCGCUUCGAGAAGCUUCGAGGAGUAGAGCUUCUGCGCCCGCUCCGACCUCCACGCCGACGGCGACGGUGCGCUCUCCCCCUCCCCCUCCCCCUCUCCCUCCCUCCCCCGCUUUCUCGAAGCUUCUACACCGCUCUCCGGAUUCGAAAUCGCCAUUUCACAGCGACGAAUCUCCCGGUCGGAAUGAUCCGAUUCCGAUCGGGAUUCCACGGAUCUCGGAUCGAUUAUCCCAAACUAUCGAAAACCUGCGAUUAAAAGCGCAACAAAUCGUUAGAUCCACUGCGGAAACCAAAUCUUCGGAAACGAAAUCAAAUAAAGAAACGAAUCCUAUCAUUUAGAACAAGAAUCGAUGAGAAAAAAAUUUUUAAAAAAAAGAGAGAAGGAACAAAUCAUUACGUUAUCACCUCCGAAGAUCGAAGUGUCGAAGUAGAGAGAGAGAGAGAGAGAGAGAGAGAGAGAGAGCGAGGGUACGAGAGAGGGAAUGGGAAGAGUAAAGGGGUGAGGGAGGAGAUUCUUAUAUAAAGGGGGGUGGUAAUAUCAUUACGACACGCGUCACGCUAGCUUUUAAUUUCUGUGUACGGUCAAGUCAAAUCCUCCCCUCUGUAACGUCAAAUUCAUUUAACUUAGUAGUUCAUUAAAAAAAAUUAAGUAUAAUGUACAUUUUUUAUCCUUAUGCCAUUUGAUUACUUGGUCCUUAAACUUUGAACGAUAAUAUAAUAUUUUAAUUAUUAUUUUAUUAUAUUAUCAUAAAAAAGUAAUAUAAUAUUUUAAUUAUUGCUAUUUAUAUUAGCGUUUAUUUAUAUUUAGUCAAUUAAAUUGAAUUGUGACACUAAAUUAAAAUAAUUUAAAAUUUUUGACUUAAAAAUUAUUAUAAAUUAAAAUUUGAAGAUUAAAAUGUGCAACCAAAAAUAUAAUAUGCCUUAAAAAUAAAAAAUCGUGCUUAAAAAUCAGAAAACUAGUGAAUAGAAAAUAUUGAAUGUAUAAUAACUUAAUGUACAUUAAUAAAUGGUGCAAAAAAUUGAUCAUUUUGUCAGUACAAUGCGCGAUUCAUUUUGUAAAGUUGCGAUCAAUUGCAUUUGACAAAUCAGAUUUUUAUAGCAUAGUUCGCGCUCAAGUUGGGAUCAUGUUUUAAGUUGGGUUUCUAAAAUUUGCUUUUAGAUUUGGAUUUAUGAUCUAGAUUGUUUUUUUAAUGCCUAUGGGAUAAAAUAGAUAUAGUUAUAAUUAUAUUUUUAGUGCAUUACAUUUUUAACUGUACUAUAUUAUAAUUACAUCCGACUAAACAAGCUCUAGUGCAUACAAAAUAGGAAUUGAAACUCAAAUUCUGUCACGGUUGGUGGAAUAUCUUUUCAAACGCUAGAGAAACAACCUCAAAGCAUUUUAAGUAAUCAAAAAAAAAUUAUCACCAAUAUCAAUACUUAAAUGUGUUUUUUUUUUAGAAAAAAAUAGUAUAUUAUUCAUUUUGUUCAAUUUUUAGAAAUGAAUUUAGCUUAACAUAUAAAACAGCUGAGCUACGAACUUGAAAACUUAUAUACUAAUUAUCAAGUCCAUAAUCAAUUGGGCUAGAUACGGUCAGUUAAUAUAUCAUUAUGGAACCCUUAUAACUAUCAUUCUAACUGCAUAUCUCUUCAUUCAAGAGUCGAAAAUUUAAUACCACAAAUGAUUUAGUACUGUUAAUAGUAUAUAUAUAUAUAUAUAUAUAUAUAUAUAUAUAUAGAGAGAGAGAGAGAGAGAGAGAGAGAGAGAGAGAGAGCUAGGCUCCUAUGUUUUUGAAAGUACGGAAGCCUCCGUGCUUGCAAGUUCUUUUCGAUAAUGGGACAUCUGAUUCAAUGAUAGGUUCUGUUAAACAUGAUCUAUGCUAUUAGAACUAUCUAGAAACCAAAUUUCAUAAUUUUUUGACUUCGUUUGCCUAAUGAACGAGUAGUCUCAAAAUAAACGGAUGAAAAUAAAAAUUUUAUAAAAAACAAUAAUAAAAGACUCAAUUUUCAAAUCGGAAGUAUUAUUUUUGCUCUUGAUGUUAAGUAUAAUUUUUUAUUAAAGUUUCAUGUAAUUUGGAUACUUAUACACCGUUGAACUUAAAAAUGUGCCACAUCGGCCGUUAAAAUAGUCAUUUUUGAGACCCUUUGAUCGCUUGGUAAAUGAUGUCGAAAAAUUAUAAAAUUUGGUUUCUAAAUAGUUCUAAUAGCGUAGAUUAUGCCUAACGAAGCCGAUCGUCGAAUCGGAUGUCCUAUCAUCGAAAGCAACUUACAAGUACGGAAGCCUCCGUACUUUCGAAAGCACAGGAGACUACUAUAUAUAUAUAUAUAUAUAUAUAUAUAUUCGAAAGUAUAAAGAAAUUGGUACUUUUGAAUUUUUUACCCUUGAUAAAUAUUGUACAAUUAGGAUGAUAGUGAUACUCUCUAAAAUUGAGCCGUCUCUAUAGGGUAAUAAUAUUAAUCCAAAGAUUAAGGGGUUGAUCCAAAUACUAAAAAGUCAGAAGCAUUAAGUCUUUAUGCUUCCAAAAGUAUAGUAACUCUACUCAUAUAUAUAUAUAUAUAUAUAUAUAUAUAUAGAGAGAGAGAGAGAGAGAGAGAGAGAGAGAGAGAGAGUGUCCGGCUACUAUACUAUUGAUAGUACCAAGCUUUGGUACUAUAGAGUUUUCUAACGUUAGUUCUACUCUGUGAUCAUUUCCACCCGCUAGAUUAUACUAUUAAACCAAACCACCCACUCAACCCUAGGGGACCACUAUCAUCCUAACCGCACAUCCUUUCAUCCAACGGCCAAAAACUCAAUAGUACUAAGGGCUUGAUACUAUUGAUAGUAUAGGAGCAUAAUUCUAUAUAUAUAUAUAUAUAUAUAUCAAUUUUGCUCCAUGUCAUUGUUUUAGAUAUCGUUUGGUUCGGAGAUAAACAAAAAGUGGUUAUUCCAGAAAUAAAUAUAAAUUGAGGUAUAAACGGGGAUUAAAUCAAUUUUGCGUUUGGAUGAAAAUUGGGUUAUUCCUAGGAAUAAAAAAAAUAGCGUUUGGUUAGGUAAGAUUAGUUAUUUCAAGGAUAGUGUUAAGUUCAGAAUUAAGGUAGGGUUAGAGUGAUUUUUUGUUUGGUUGAAAAUUGGGUUCUAAAGAUAGGGUUAAGUUCAGGAUUAAGAUGGGGUUAGAGUAAUUUUUUGUUUGGUUGAGAAUUGGGUUUAGUCCAGAUAUAAGUAAAAUAGUGUUUGGUUGAAGUANAAAUAUAAAAUAUAAAAUUUUAAAUUUUAAAUUUUAAAAAUAAGAAUAGGGGUGGGAACAAUUAAUAAAAAUAAUUUACUAUAAUAAAUUUAUAAUUUGAUAAUAAUAAUUUUUUUAAUAAAUUUAUAAUUUUUUUAUUAUUAAUAAAUUAAUAAUUUUUAUAAUUCUACUUAAACUUAAAUUUAAUAAAAAUAAUAUUUUAUAAUAUUUAAAUAUAAUUUAUUAUAAUAUUUAAUAUUUAAAUAUAAAUAAUAUGUAUUAAUAUAGUGCAAUUAAUAAUUUUAUAAUAAAAAUAAUAUAUUAUAAUAUAUAACAUAUUAUAUUUAUAUAAUUUAGUUUUAAUUUAAUUUAUAAUUUUAAUAAAGUUUGAAAUUAAACAUUGGAAUAGCACUAUUCCAUCAAAAUGGUGGAAUAGUAAAUUCCUUGCUAUUCCGAGACAGCCGGGAAUAGCAAAGUUUGACCAGAAUAAAAUAUCCCGGCCAAAAAUUAUUUCAUUUGGCGCAAUAGCGGGGAUAACUUUCGUUUUCCCCGCCUAUGCCGCCAACCAAUCAGGGCUUUAACACAUUAGAUAGGAUGAGAAUAUUAUAAUUUAGGAGUUUUUUAUUUAUGUGCUCUUUAUUACUGUCAAAAAUUUUUAAACAUAUCCCUCAAUUCCUAAAAUAUUUUCAUAAAAUUCAAUCCCAUUAGUAAACUCUAGCUAGAAUAAACAGGUAUAUAUGAAUAAUUAUUUUGAAGUCAAUAAAAAUAUUUUAAUCAUUCAAAAAGUAGAUAUUUUGAAGAUUUUCAAAGACAUGCUAAUAUUGUACCUAUAAUUUAGGUACUUAAGAACACAAACAAGCAAAUAUCAGUUGUCACUACAACUGUUCCUUUUAUUCUUCUCCAAUAUAAUUGGGAAGGCAAUAUGAAUGUGUCUUAUCCAAUUCCAACACCCAUUUAUUCAAUCCCAACAAUCAUUCAUCCUUGAAUAUGUGGGAUUUUUCAAAGAGUGGGUAGAAAUUAAUUAAUUAACUCCUCAAUUUAUAUGUUGCCAGUAAAAAUGAAAUUGUUUGCCGGAUUGUUUUUGAAAGUGUAUGUUGGGAUUUGGUUAGAUUUGUAGUUGAAUUCUAAUUUGAUUAGGAUUAAUAUUUAAAUCUAUUAGAGAUAAAUUAAGAUUUAAAUAUUAAUUAGGGUAUAAAUCUAAUUAGAUUAAGAUAAAUAUUUAAAUCUAUUAGAGAUAAAUUAAUUAAGAUUUAAAUAUUUGUCGGAGUGUGAAUUCUAAUUAUAUUAGAAGUUGGGUACGUUUUCGUGGGCGCUGUAUAUAUAAUAGUAUUAAGGCUUGAAUUAAUUAAGCAAAAAGGCUGAGAAGGUACUGCUGCCCAUAGAGAAGGAGAGAGAGAGAGAGAGAGAGUAGCCAUGAGUUUAGCGCACCUAGUGCACAGGUGCACGUGAAAGAUUGUUUUCUUUGCGGAUUUAUAGAAGACGUGAGAAAAGUAAAAGAAAUUCAAGAAAGAGGGUUCAGAUUAGAGCUAUUCUAUGCAGAAAAAAAGUCAGGUGUAAUCUUUCCUUAUUUAAUGAAUUUUAUUUUAUUCGCAUAUUUUUUGUUUUGAUUUUUCUCUUUUGUGAUUGUAUCAGUUUUUGCGAAGGAGACGGGUUUAUAAUAAAAAUCCGAUUUGACGCUUUCGUUGUGAAAUCAUAAUAAUCGGUACCGGAUCCACAACCGUCACUAUCAGAGCAAAAUUCGGUACCGGGACGAGUACCCGAUUCCCAACAGUAUAAUCUCUGCAUGCUUUCAUUUAUUUAUUUAUUUAUAUUUUUCAUCUAGGUACAAAAAAAAGUAGAAGCACCGAGUUGGCUUUUGAUUUAUAAAGCAUUAUUUUAGCUUAAACACCUAUUAAUGUAAACCUAAGGGCGUGUUUGGUUCGAAGUCGGAGUCGGAGUCGGAAUCGGAGUCAGAAUCAAAAUAAGCUGGAAGCGGAAUCGGAAUGACUCAUUACCUAAUUCUGUUUGGUUCAUUACCUAAAUCGGAAUAGGAAUAAAUCAUUCACAUUAUCGGUGUUUAGUUGUGGAUAUAAAAAACGUAAUGAAAUUAAUAUACUAACAUUAUCUUUAUAAUAUAUAUUAAUUUAAAUUCAAAUUAAAAAUUAAAUAUUAAAAAUUUACAUCAAAAUUUUGAAAUAAUGUCGAAAUUUUAAAUCUAUUUUUUUUAAAAAAAAAUUAAACUUUGAAGUUGAGUGAAUAAUUCAAAAUAUGAAACUAAAUUUUGAUUUAUUCAAAUUCAAACUAAAAUUACAAUUUUAAUUUUAAUUUGAAUCCAUAAAUUUAAUUUAAGUUUGAAAUAAAAUUUUAAUAAAACUUUAUAUAAAUUAAAAUUUAAUUUAAAUUCAAAUUCAUAAGUUAGAUUCGAAAUACUUGAUUAAAUUUUAAUUUUUAAUUUAAGUUCAAAUUAAAAUUUAAAAUUCUAUAUUUAAUUUUUAAAUUUUAACUCAUAUUUUAAUUAAAAAAGCUGAAAAAAUAAAUUUAAUCCGAAUAAAUAUUCAUUCUGUCCGGAUUCAACUUCCAAUCCGGCCUAGAGAUGAUUGAGAGAUUUCCAUUUCACUCGGGAAUCGAAAUCGGAAUGGAACUCCCGCGUACCAAACACCAACAAACGGAUUAAUCUAUUCCGAUUCCAAUUCCAGGGUGAGAAAGAAGCGAACCAAACACAAGUGGUUCAAAAAUAAAAAACAAAAUUAAAAAAAAGAAGAAUUUUUCUUGGCAAAUAAAAAAGAAGGUUUUAUCUGCAACCAUUCAUAAAUGGUAUCAUGAUAUAAAUGAAUUUCAUAUGAGCAAUCUUAUCUAUCUAUCGUAUCAUUAUCAUCUGAAUUCUUAAUGGCCUAUUGGCCUAUACUAUAUAUAUAGAUAAUGACUAUUGAACUGAAUUUGUUCAAAGACAUUUUUCAUCAGGUAUAUAAUAAUUGACCAAAUAGACAAAUGUAGUCACACUCAUUGUACCAUGUCUCACUCGAAAAUAUUUUAAUUCCUCUUAUUCUUGUUUAUCAUUAUUGUGUCUCCUCCAUCUCCUCCUUGCUAUUGCAAGAAAAUAAACCAAAAAAACAUAUUUUCAGUUCAGGUAUCUUGUCAUUUAUGGCCCAGAUCCCCCACCACCAUUCAAUCUAGCUAAUAUCCUAGUCACGUUAUAAAAAUUUAUAAAAUAUUAUAAAUUUGAGUAUGAUUACUAUAUUUUUAUGGGUAUAAAUUCUUUUAUACUCAUAAAUUUUCGACUGUUAAAUAAAAAAAUAUGCGAUUAAGAUGAUAAAUAGUUCCCAGCUAUAAUAAUAGUGAUUUUCUAGAGUUGAGUGGAUGAUUGGUUGAAUAGUAUGAUCUAAUAUAUGAAAAUGAUUAAAGGAGUAUAUCUUACGGUUGAAAAUUUGUGAGUUUAUAAUGGUCUAACUUAUGAAAGUGCAGUAGUCGGACUCCAUAAAUAUAAUGAAGAUAAAUAACUUUUAAUAGAGAUUAAAAGUGUUGUUUGGAGAUGCGGAGAAAAAGGAAUUAU
rnacentral:lncRNA from 1 species